rnacentral:lncRNA from 1 species
CCUCGUACGGCACCUCGAUCUCGUCCAGGAACCGGUGCGCCGGCUUGCGUACGAUCAUGGCCGAGAACAAUUGCCCGCCUAACCACGCGCCUCCUCCAGGCGACACCGACUGCUCCACGAUGGCCACCUUCACGUUGGGGUUCUUGGACAGCUCGUACGCGCACGACAGCCCCGCGGACCCAGCACCCACCACCACCACGUCGGUGUCGGCGUGGGUGAUCAUGUCGGUCAUGUAGCGCCGGGUCAUCUCGCGGGCCACAAUGGACUCCUUGAUGGGGGCGAACUUGUAGUUGUUCAGGUCGUAAUUGGCAUCGGAGUACAGCGACGCGCUGGUGGCCGGCGCGGCACAGCGCCUGAGCUGCGCCUUGCGCGAGGUGAACAGGCGGACCCCCGCCACCGAGCUCGAGCUGGACCCGACAUUGCUCUUGAGCUCCACAUUGGCACCCAGUCCCGUGGCCACUCCCGCAGCGGAAAUGCUCAUGGUCGCCGCCAUUGCUUCAGAUCCUGCCAAUUACAAUCGCUUCUCGCACUGCUUGGAUUCCGAUGGGACACAGUAGUUAGCGAUCAGAGCAAUAUGGAUGACGAUCCAAGGAGAAUAACAACUGGCAUUGUGGGGUUAUGAUCCUGGAAGCCUAAAUGGGCAUUCGAUCGAGGGCGUGGUCAAAAAGGGGACAAAAGAGUCUCCUAGUGAACGUCAGAUAGAAUGUUCGUAAAUAGCAAAGAGGAACCUUGAACGCAUGGAGAGGUGGACAUGCACUCACAAACUCGCAGAUUUUUUUUGCGGAUUGAAUUACUGCCUCCAAGAAAACAGGUGAAAAGUGCUUGUUGAACCCAUAAAAGGACUCCAGUUAUCUUUGAUGCGGAAUGGAUGUGACGAAACCUCAUCCGUGGGGCAUGUGCAUGAAGGCUUGAGUAAAUGCAUUAACCAAUAGGACCAGAAUAUAUGAUAUUUUGAACACUCUAAUUGUUAAUUACACAAUUAGGUUUAGUAGUGCGGUCAAUAUUACCCUUUAAUAACAUCUUUGUGUGCAAAACAAUGGUACAUUGAUUUCUAGUGUCGCAGGUUCUAGCAAUGAAAUUGAUUACUUGGUGUCAGACAAAACAACUGGGAAUCCUUGUGCAUGAAGCUGAGUAGCUGAAUUGAAUGAAGAGUUUCAAAAUAGAAUGACCGCGGGUGGAGUUGAUAACCACAUUUCACGUGAUAGAAUUCCCUCAUCCUUCAUUGCUUCAUUCUACUUUGAGACAGACAUUCGAAUGCAUUCACCCCAUUUAAUGCCCACAUUACCACUGUCACUUCUCAUUUCACCAACUUCGGUCGCAUCACUCCCACCACGGAAGGGCUGGCGCUAGGAACACAUCUGGUUCGAAAGACUCGUCAGGGAUCGGAACUCUUCAGUGCAGCUCUGGUGCAACUGAAACACAAACGUCGGAACGCAUGUCAUGAAUUGUUUUUCUCCUGCUUUCUAUGCAAUGGCUCAGAUUGUGCCGGCAUCAGCUCUGAGGGACAAAGACCACCGGGGCAGAUUCCUGUUCAUUCUCCUUCAGGGCCAAGCGGAAGCUUAGGAAUAUUGCAGGGAAAGAUUCUAACCGAACCCCGAGGGAGUGUGCUUUGUCGUAGAGCACACGGACUGGUUUUGGUUGCGGAGUGGCAAUUAAUUCGCAACUUUCCCAGAGAGAAGCUACCAAGCAGAUUUUUUUUUUCGAGUUUUGGUUUUAUGGGGGUGUGGGGGCGAAUAUUUUGAUGCAGGCUUGGCCAUUCGACAGGGGUAAAGGUCGGUGGUGUCAUCAGGACCACCGCCAGUGCCCUUUUUACCCCACCACCCCCAUCCCCACUUCCACUCCAACCCAUGCACUAAAAGAAUCCUAGAUGAGAGGUUGUGAGGACUAGGGGGCUUGUCUCAGCUCCUCUCAGCCCAUCGAUCAGCGAGUUAAAGAGUCCGAAGAUUAGUGUCAAGAUAUUUUUAUGUGCAGCUUUAGGAAUCCUUCAGGUUGGACUGGCUCUUUUUUGUGCUGUUGCCAUAGCCGAGGAGGGAUCUCGCACGAAGCCGUCGAGCUUGGUGGGGCUCUCUCUUGCACUUGCGUCGUACCCCCCCCCCCCCCCCACGGCUCUACCUUCCCAAGAGGGCUCUGUCCCCAUGUCUUUCCAAAUGCCUUUCGAGGUUCUUCCAUCCUUUGCAUUGUAAUUUAUAGAUAUUUUGGGGCGUUGAAAGUAAGAUAUUAAAAGAAAAAAAAAGUAACAAAUGUAGUGAGAAGGUUUUCAAUGAGAUUAGCAUGAUGUGUGAAAAUUAUUAUUAUAAUUAUUGUUAUAAUCUUUUUUCUUCUCUAUUAGAAGUAAUUACCAUUCAAGCUAUGUAAUGGUUGCUUUUGGAUCUUUAAUUUUUAAAUAUUUUGGAGUUUCAAAUGUAGAUGUUGAUACAGGAUCAAUUUAUUGUGAAGCAAUUAGUUUACAUGUAUUUUUCUUAGAUUUUAUUUUUAUUUUUUAUUUUUUUUAUACAAAUAGAAUAGAAUUGCUUGGAUUACAAUAAAAAUAAAAUUAAUAUCUUUUAGAGAGACAAAUUUAUAUGUAAGGUAUACUAUAAGAACCAAUUUUAUUUCUUAAUAUCUAUUGGAUGAAUAAUAAGACCAUAAAUAUUUCCAAUUAAAAGUAUAGAAUGACUUAUGUUUAUUUUUCACUUAAAAAGUUGUCUAAUUCAACUUCUAAUAUGAUAUUUUUUAACUUCUAACUUCUAAUACUUUAAUUGAAUGAACUAUAAUUUUUUUCUACUUAUCUACCUAAAAAUGAGAAAUUUAAAAUUAUUUUUUUGACAUGAGAUUAAUAAAUAAUUUAAAACCUUCAAUAUUAUUUUUUAUUAUUUUAAAAUUUGGUAAAUCAAAUUGCACAUGUAAUUCUACUUAAUAGUCAAAUUUAACUUAAGGAGAAACAUAAUUAUGAAAAAUAUUAAUACAAUAUACAAUCUAUUGUAAUAUUUAUAAUAAUAAGCUAAUUUAAAAUAUAUAAAUAGUAUUCUUAUGUAAAAGAUUAUAUUUAUAUUUAUAUAUUUAGAAUAAUUUAAAAAAAGUUGAAUUGUAUUCUACAAAAAUUGAUUAAUAAAAUUUAAUUCAUACAAUUCAACUUUUAAUAAUCAAAUUAAUCUUUUAAUCUUUUAAGUUGAAUUUUGUCUAACAAUAUUUUAAUAUUAAAACUAAAAUACAAAGAUGAUAAAUACUUUGGAAAUACAUAGAAUGCCAUAUUCUUCUAUGAUUUUUUUUAGAAUCAAGAUUAAUUUGAUUAAUAAAAGUUAAAAUUUUAUUCUAUACAAAAAAUGAAUUGUAUGGAAUGCAAAUUAAACUCAAAAUUCGUACAAAAUUCCUUUGAACAUGAAUUCCAACUACAACUUAUUAACUUUUUUUGGAUUUUUUUUUGGAAUUAGUACUUGUUAAAUUAACAUUUAACAAGAAAUAUAAAAAUCCAAUGAUAAUUCAAAGUGAUCUACAAGCCUUCUUUGAAUCAAAGCUAAGCUUAAGGAGAACCUUCCAACCUACCAAAUUUUUGAUGUACUCAUAUUUGAAUUAUUAGAGUUUGUAUUUUAGACUCAUUCUAUAUAAAUUCUAUGUUUUUUUAAAAAAAUUACUAAAACAUACUAUUAACUUAGAUAUUUUUUCUAACCAAUUAAUGUAAUAUUUAAAAUUAAAAUUUGAUGACUAAGCUUUAUAUUUUAAUUAUAACACCUACAACUCUAAUUGCAACAACCAAACCAAUUGUCAAGGACAAAGACUCGAUGAGGGAAAAUAUACACCAAAAGGCUAUCUCGAUAUAAUAAGUCAAAAUAUAAACAAGUAGGUAUAUUAAAAGGAAACUGGAAUGGCUAUUGCCACAAGACAAGAAACUAAAGACUUUUGAACCUGGACUAGAAGCAAGAAAGGAGUUGACAAGAGUGAAGAAGCCUUCACUCUUGUCUCUAUAUAUACUAUCUAAAUAGGGGCUACGUGGCGACGUUCUAUAGGACCUCCAAUAUGUGUUGACUUUGUAGGACACAUGCCUUGACUUACAAGGCAAGUUUUUCUACGUGUGGGCCACAUAGUUAGCUUGAUCAUCAAGCUAACAACAUGUGUGGCACAUGGCCAACUUGUUGACCACGUUUCUAAUCCAAAAAGUCAAUUAAAGACACCUAUGAAGUCAAAGCAGCGUCUAGAAAGUUUCUAGGAAGCUUCUAUAUUAAAUAUUAUAGAAUUAACUUAUUUCUAUCUACUUUUACUUACUUCUACCUAUUUCUAUAUGUAAUUAUUAGCUUACAUGAUUAUGGCCGUGACACCAAUAGCUAAUCACAAAACUGUACUUAGCAAAGGCAAUUGCCAUCCACUCACUUACACUUGUAGCCAUAAGUCUAAAAUUGAUUUUUACUAGUGGAAACCAAAUUGUAAUGCCAUUAACUCAAUCAAAAGACCUUUAACAUCUUUUAUAAACCAAUACCUCAUAUUACUACGAGAUCUAUAAAUACAACUAUUAUUUUCAAUGACAAAUAUUAUAACAUCAUAUUCUUCUUACUUUCAAAAUACUUGAUAAUCCAUUUCUAUGCUAAAGUAGUCAUUUUCAAAUUUUUACACAUUUAUGCAAUAAAUUUUAAUAUCAAGUGUGUUGUCCACUAAAAAAGCCACCAACAUGCAAGUAUAUGAAGAUAGUAUGUGUCUAAUUAUUCAUGCUUGUAAGCUCAACAUUGUUAUCAAUUUUGAUGGCAAAAUCUAUGAAACCAUUUAGCUAAGCUUAUUUGAAAAUGACCUUUAAGAUGCUCAAAAUUUAUAAGUGAUUCAUGACAUACACUACAAUAAAUUCAAUCCUUUCAUUUGGAGAUAUAUUUGUUGCAUAUUAAUUUUAAUAUCAAGAUAUUUUUAAUAGUAAAUAAUUUUAUAUUUAGAUUUAUAAUCUACAUCAAUUCAUAACCAAAUUUGUUUAUAAUUAUUGAAAACACAUGAUAUCUUUAAUAAUAAAAUUUAAGAUUCUAUCCAAUUAGGUAUUUUUAUUUAAUAAAUUUUGUAUAGAUUCACUUAAAUAUAUCUACAUUACAACAUUUGAUCUUCCACACAACAUCUUAUCUAAUGUCCUAUGCUAUGGAAAGCAAGCCAAAGAUAGAUCAUCCAAAUCAUAUUCAACUUCUAUCACUUCUUCUUUCAAUGCUCUUCACAAAUAAUGUCAAAGGUGCAACAAAAAUCAACUACAGUUGGCUAACAUGCUUCUGAAUUCAACCACUCAAUAUGGAUAAUUUAAAGACAUGACUUCUUCUAAACCAACAAUUCUUGUAGUAGUCUUGUCCCACAACCAAAUUCCAUCCCACCCACAUUGGAGCAAAUUAUAAUGACUCUUAUAUACAUUACAAAAGUCCUUUGACUAUUAUAUCUAUUCAUGCUCCUUGCUUUAAAACCCAAAUGUUAAUACUUUAUCAAAUACUAUUUUCCACCAAGAAAAAACCACUUAGUCAUUGAACUCCUACCAGAUCAAUGCUAUUAAUAUUUGCCACCUCAUUGGAACAGCAUCUCAAAUAAUUCUUGAAAUCUUUUCUUUUUAAAGAAUUUAGUGCAAGCGUCUUGUUGCUUGUUUCAGAUUUUUAAUUUCUUUGUCAAAAUAGAUAUUAAUAGAGAACCAAUCCACCAAAAGAACAAUCUGCAACGCAUUUUCUUCAGUCCAUGGAUAAUGCCCAUAAGUGAGAGCUUGCAAGCACAACAGGGACUUGAAGGUUGAGCUCAUUAUCUUGAAUGAAUGAGACGUUGGACUCUUGCCUUUUGUUUGAUGCGAUACCACUUCGAGGGAUUUGCUAAUUCGGCAAAGGCUCUUUGCGACCAGGCAACGCUCGAUGCGAGGCAUGUCCACCAAAACGAGGAAUCGGCUCAACCCACAUUUUGUAUCUACAAUAUGCAACAAUCACAUCGAAAGGCCAGUUACAGACCUGGAGACUUGGUCGUCUAGAUGGAAAGAUCUUCCACAUUUUGAUAUUGCAGGAAUUCCAUCUUUAGUACCGCAUGUCACCAUCACGACGUUGGAUCCACGCAUCACUUUAUCAGUGGGGCUGUAGGCCCAUUCUCGAGAUGAUCGACACCGUGCAUUGCAGAUUGGAGUUAGUCGUGGAUUAGUUGCAAGGUUGCGAUUGAUGCCACGAUUCUCGUGGUUCUGCAAAGUGUCGUCGAUAGAUCGAACGGCACAACCAGAGAGCCAGACCUUCGAGUUAUGCAACCAGCUGCACAACCAACAGAUCUCAGCCAUCAUGUAUAGGUUGUUUCUGCAGUAGGAUUUUGCAGUGGCCCCCGAGGCUUGAGAGUGGCCCCUGUAGUGAAUAUUAUGAGCUAUCAUCAUCAAUUGUUGGGUUCCUCCAAGAAUAGACUAGCAGAUUAUUGCAUGUUUCCCAGAGCGGUGUGGAUCGUGGACCGGCUGGAGCUUUUAUGUAACUAUUCCGAUGUAAUCAGAAAGUAAAUCAGAACCAUUCGGCGAUAUUCCUUUUAUAACUGAGUAAAUCGACAGGAGAAACAUCGAGAAAUGCGAUUCCUAAAAUCUGGCACGGCGUUCAACCCGCCCAAAUUGUGAUUCAUUCCUUCGAUCAUGAGGUAUGUAGCUCUGAGGUCGAAAAAGACUAUGUCAAGAUGGCUCUAGCAUUGAAGAUUAGAGAAAGAUUCUAGCAAGAAAAGCACAAUAUCCUUCACCGAUUGUUCGUUUACUGAAGUUGACAAAUCAUGGGACGAUGUUGAUUAUAUCUGAACGCGUGAGAAAUGAAAACUAACUGGACUAAUGCACCAGCAUAGAUGUAGUAUGCUGGAUUGCACAUCCUACCGUUUAUACAAAAGAAUAAAGCAGAAUUGGCAACGAAUGGUGUAGAAGACUCAUGAGUUAUGACAGAUCUCUUGUUUUUUGAACAAUUAAAAUAAUCUCUGAACAAGAUUCGUUGGUGAUGACUCAUGUCUACAGUAAUGUAUUGGACGAUUCCCUCGGGACAAAUGCUAUAUAUUGACAUACAAAACUCUCUCGAAUCUAGGGAUGACCUACGAUUUUGCAACUGUCCAGUUCGAUGACGAAAGUUCGCAUCUAGCAGAAACAUUAAAGAAUGUCGACAUCCCAUCGGUAUGCAUACAUGACAACCAAAUGGACAGUGCAUCAGCAUCAGUGAAAUUCAAAUUCCUCAGUCCAACCGAUCUGGUCGAUUGGGUAUCUCCUCUACCCAUAUACGAAAGUCAGCUUGCUGACCCGGCGACAAUAAGCGAUUGCAGCUUACGAUUGCCAACAAGCGAUUGUCCAUUUUAUUGCUCAUUCCAUUGAACACAGAACAAACACACCAUUCUUCGAGCACAUCUUUCGAGAAACCGAAACGGCAACACUCCAUGUUUACCCGGAUCCGCCUCCCCCCUAUACAAACCUAAUCCUAAUCAACUUCGCCACCCAUCAUGGAUGACCCUCGUUACUAACUGCUUACACAUCACACAUCUUAUCAAAACAGACUCAACUUCCCAUCGAACCCAAGGUUCCACGGAUUAGCUGAAUUCUAAGCGGAUGCCGUCAUGUCGUCGGUGGACGCCAAUACCAGCUCUGGGUGCACAUUGGGCUUGUAGUUCCCGUCCACCUCGUUGGGUAGCCCCAACGCCCUCAGCGCCAAGUGUGCCGCCUUCUGCCCGGAUAUCAUCAUCGCUCCGAAUGUGGGUCCCUGCAUUCCAUUUCCACACCACAAUUCCUUCAGCAUUCUGCACCUCACUCUGCAAGCGGCAAGCGGCAAGGCGAUCAUCCACACACAUGAACCAUCACCACGUUGCCUCGACGUUCUUACCAUUCUCGGCGACCCGUCGAUCUCCGCCACCUCCAUGCCCGUCACGAUCAUCCCUGGCACCACCUCCCGCGUGUGCUUCACAAUCGCGUCCUCCGCCGCGUUCAUGUCCAGGCACUUCAUCCCCGGCACGCUCUCGAUCAUCCCGAUGCUCCGCAGCCGCUUCACCCCGGUCGCCCCGAAUGGCCCGUCGUGCCCGCACGACGACACCACCACCUUCGCCUCCAUCACGUUCGGGUCCAUGCACGACUGUGUGUUGUGGUUCUGCGCCACCAGCGCCCAGUUCGUCACCACGCCCGACACCCGGUCGCCCCGGAUAAUCAGAUCCUCCGCCGCCACCGCGUUGAACAGCUUCACGUUCGGCCGCGCCAGCAGCUUGCUCAUGAUCGUGGACGUGAACAGCGCCGCGUGCUUGAUCACCACGUAGUUCUCCAUCUCCUCGUACGGCACCUCGAUCUCGUCCAGGAACCGGUGCGCCGGCUUGCGUACGAUCAUGGCCGAGAACAAUUGCCCGCCUAACCACGCGCCUCCUCCAGGCGACACCGACUGCUCCACGAUGGCCACCUUCACGUUGGGGUUCUUGGACAGCUCGUACGCGCACGACAGCCCCGCGGACCCAGCACCCACCACCACCACGUCGGUGUCGGCGUGGGUGAUCAUGUCGGUCAUGUAGCGCCGGGUCAUCUCGCGGGCCACAAUGGACUCCUUGAUGGGGGCGAACUUGUAGUUGUUCAGGUCGUAAUUGGCAUCGGAGUACAGCGACGCGCUGGUGGCCGGCGCGGCACAGCGCCUGAGCUGCGCCUUGCGCGAGGUGAACAGGCGGACCCCCGCCACCGAGCUCGAGCUGGACCCGACAUUGCUCUUGAGCUCCACAUUGGCACCCAGUCCCGUGGCCACUCCCGCAGCGGAAAUGCUCAUGGUCGCCGCCAUUUCUUCAGACUCUGGAGGACAGAAUUGCUACAGGCAAAUAGACACAACAACUAGCAGGACCUGGUGCGGGUAAUAAGAAUGUUAGGCACAGUGUCACAAGCCACGAUAUUUUGAUUCAGGGCAGGAAUUGCGUUAAGUAGCGCUGGGGGGGGGAGGAUGGUGACAAAUCUAUAAGAUGCCGUUGAUACUCUCGCGAGUGUAAGAUUUUGGGGGUGAAUUAUGGUCGGUUGACGAUUAGGGGUCGUGAUGAAUGACCACCUUGUCGGUCUCUCCACAAACGAUAGAACGUGUUUCAUCAACUUGACAUUUCAUGGUUUUUUUAAUUAUGUCCUGGUUGCAUGCUGUGGUUGUAACUAGAGAUGUGGAGCUUUGUAAACCAGGGUCUGCUAGCAUCCGGAAUCGACCUUGUGAACAUUGUGACCUUGUAGAUAUUGAGAGUCAUUCAAGAGCUUCUCAAGCAACUUUCACAACACCAGGAAACACGAGACAAGCGUUACGAGGUUGACGGAAGGCGAAGACGAGGAUCAACGCAAUAUGGCGAAGCAAAAUGUAGUAUUUCAAAAUAUUGGGUUAACCUGAUGAAAAGCAGAAAAUUUUGGUAUUUACUAAAUUCGAAUAAUAUGCAUAUUUUACAAUUGUGGAGUUGUUUUGUUCAUGGUUUGUAUUAGAAGACACGGUUAUUUUUUGUGCUUGUGCAAUACAUCAAGAACUUAAAGUUACUCACAUGAAAGUUAGUUUUCAAAUUUAUCUAUCUAAAAAUAACACCAAAGUUAUAGAGAAUCCUUUAGUAGGAGAUUCCAAGUCUAUAUAACCAUACAAUGAAACCUCACAGAUGACAUGUCUCUACAUUCAUAUUCUCUACAACCGCACUAAGAUCUGUAUUUUAUGUAGUCUAUGACAUCAAUUCUUUUAGACUGCUCAUGGGAAAGAUGGAUAGAGAACUUAAAAUCUUUUAGAGAAAAAAUACCUCCUAUUUUUAUAUUGAAAUAUAGAAUACAUAGCUUAUCUUAUCUCACGAAUUUAGACAAAAUCUACAUGGCUAACAAAAAAAAAUUAAUGAAAUAUUAUGAUAUGGAAAUCUCAUAUCAUAUCAACCACGGACACUUCCAAACUAGUCUAAAUAAAACACCACAUCAAUCACUACAUCUAAAUCUUCAAAAAAUAAGAAAACAAAAAAUUAUGCUCUAUACAUAUAUAUUUACAUAUUAUAUAUGUAUGAAUGAAAGAGAAAUUGGUUCACUUAAAAAUAAAAUAAAUAACUAAAUGAGAUUAAUGUAGGUUUUUUGCAAAUUGUCUUGCGUUAGUCUAAAAAUAAUCGUAGGUUCAACAUCUUAUAUUCCUUUCUUGAAUAAUUUUUGAAUUCAUUAUCUGUGAGUGUCUCUUAAUAUAAUUCUUCCUAAACCAAGUGUAUGUGUGUGUUUGAAUAUUUAAUAAUCAAAGAGCAACGAUUGGUAAAUAAUACAAUUUGUUUUUGUAAAAUAAAGUUAAUACUUAUCUCGCUUCUUUAUCCCCACUUUAAUUUACUUCCUAGUUACUCACUUGAAGUUCAUAUUCUUGUUCCCUCCGAAAAUCUAUCUUCCAGAAAUAGCUAAUAUGAUUGCUUUAAUCAGUAUACUUUUGAGAAUCUCGGUUGAAUGUUAAACAUAUGUGUAUAUUUACAUGUCUUUUGUAUUAAGCACAAAUUAUACAGGAACACAGCUUUACUUGUCGGAUGGAAAACUUUGUGUUCCAACUGAUUUGAUUUAGUAGAAACUGGCCGAGUUUGAUUGAUGUCCAAUUUAUUUAGUUAAAUUAAAUCAAGUAGAGUAUGAAAGCGCUUAUUUUGAAAAUUUUUAGUUUAUGUUUUAGUAGAUGUGUACUAAUCCGUAAAUUAGGAUGUAUUGACCGCUUCAGAUCCCAAUCCUCUGGGUGCAUGAAAACGAAUUAAACACAUAUCCAACCCUUCAACAUCGGUGAAAAGACUCUGGAAAAUUUUGCACCAUGGAUUGAACCCGUUGCCAUCAAACAGACAAUGGCUCACCACCUAAAAAUGAUGCGAUACUCUACCUGCAACUGACGAGAGACCAGCUCAUGGGCGCCAUCGAUGACCUCUGCUUUCUCGUGCAGGAGACACACAAUCCUGACCUCACCCUUCUUAACCUUGACGCAGUCAUUCUGAAUAACAUCGUCGCCACCCAAAGGUGACUACGAUCCGAAAGAUUUCUAAAUAGUUGUAAUCAAUAACCACUUCACUAAGUACGCGAAACUAUCUAUUGAGUCUCUAUAGAUUGUAUGGUCUGUCCCAAAGAGUAACUGCAGCGACGCUGCUCCCUAGGGCAAUGGAAUAUGCAACCUCGAUUUCACGGACAAAUCCUCCGCACAAGAUGCGCAGGGGAUUCGUCACGUAAGCAAAUUGCUCUACGACGUUGGCAAAGGACUCUGCGGCCACAAGUGCAUCACAUGGAUGCGAUGGCCGCUCCGGAAUGCUAGAAUUGCACCCCGCCAAGGAUACAACUCCCGUCGCUUCAAAUAUUCAAGCCCAUAAGACCCAACUAAAUUUCUCCAGAAAACUGUCAGUUGGUAGUGAAUGUUUGCUCAACACGAAGUUCAGAACAGGUCUAUGUAUUCUAUCUUCAUCCAGCCUUCAUCUCUUUCACCCCACUCCACCCCACACAUCAAGCCUCAGUCGAAAGAUGGUGAUACGAUGAACAUCACAGGAGUCAGCAAUUUGGGUAUUUUCUUCAUCAACGGCUUUGUUAUACCCAGACAGAAGCCAUGCUCAAACAAAAGCAGACAGACCUUGAGACGCUGUACCAUCCACUAGAAAGCCUCAGUUUACACUGUAGCGUCACAGAAAUGCAGGUGGCAUACUGAGGAGGUUCUUCUAGUCAAACAAGGUCCCAGCACCGCCCACAACCAACCCCCAUAGAGGUAACCAUCCUCGACAUAACAGCUAAACCCUAAACCCUUCACUUACAACACCCAACAAACCGAACCCAACUCGCCACGGUGUGAUAGUGGUCGGAAACUAAGCGAAGCAAUAUCAUAAACAGCAUCCCAUGGAACUUCUGCCAACCUCUCAGACCUACAGAGGACUCUGAGGAUUGGGACUAGCGCACAUCUGUAGUGAGGGGCAGUGUUGAUUAAUGCAUGCGGGCAGCCAGUAAAGCGAAGUCCUCAAAAUGAUCACGUGACAUACCCUUCUCUCCUAAGCCCUAAUUCAACGACCUCAUGAAUCAGGGUCUGAGACAAAGAGCUGCGGGCUUCACAUUCUUCCCACAUUCCAAGAUAUGACAACCCGUUGAAACCCUAAAAGUGGUGAUGUGGGUACUUGAUGAGCUUUUUGUUGUUGUAAUUGUUAGUUUUGAAUUACUCAUUCAAGCACAAUUUUCAUAGAUUUCUGCACAAAGUUCUGUUUAUUACAUUACAAGAAGACAAAAUAAAAGCUUUUUCAUUCAAUUUAAAACUUAUUCUUUUAAGAAUAUGCAUCCUUAAAACAUUUAAAAAUAAUAUUUAGUAUUCUUUUUAUAAUUUUAAAUUAAUAAAAAAUAUUGUAACAUUUGGAUUCUAUAUAUAUAUAUAUAUAUAAAUAUAUAUUCAAUUGAUAAAGAUGUCAAAUGUAUAUGCAAGUUUGCAAUAAUCUAUAGUAGAAGCAUGUAAUGUACAAAUGUGUAAAAUUCUUUUACAAAAAAGAUUAUAACAUUUGGAUUAUUCAUUAAAUUGAUGAGAGCUGUAAAAAAUAUUAUAACAUUUAUAAAAUAAAUUUGUACAUUUGUACAUUGCAUUCUUCUAUUAUAGAUUAUUGCAAACUUGUAGAUACAUUUAUUAUCUACACCAAUUGAGUAAACUUAUACUUAAGACCACAUUUUUAUAAUUCUAAUUUUAUAAACCUGACAUGAUUUCAUAAAUAAUAUGAAAUGCCAUUGUGAAAUUUAAUUGUAUAUAAUAGCAUCCUUGCAUGAAUUCCUAAAAUUUAAACCAUUUAUAUACAAAUUCCAUAGAAGAAAGAAAGAAAAAAGAAAGAAGAAAAUUCAAAACUUUAAUGAUUAUUGUUUUUAUAUUUUUCUUUUUCUUUUUGUUUCAAUUAUAUCUGUACAUAUUUUAUGGCUUGCUGUUAUGAAUAAUUUUGCAUGCAAUAUUCUUUAAAUGGUACAAUUAACAUGAAAUAUUGUCAGAAUAGACAUGACAAGAUUCUAGUUUGAAUAUUUUAAAACUUAUAAUCAACAUAUGAAUCUUAGAUAAUCAAAACCACAAUUGGAUAAACAUGCAUUGAAGAAAUGAGAUUCAAUUAUAUCUGAUAAUAUUAAUAAUUUUGCAUUGAUUGAUUUUUUAAAAACAAAUACUUAGUUAUAAAAUAAAUAUUAAACACCAAUUCUAUCUUAUUUAUGCAAACUUUUAGAAAUUUAGUAGCUUAGAGGACUAAAAAACAACAACUAAUAGAAAUGAAAACGACUUUUAAAUUCCCUCAAAGAAGCAAAUAUAUAUAUAUAUAUAUAUAUAACAAUGCCCCUAGCUAACUUCAAGAUAAUUGUAUAGCUGUUUUAAUGCAUUAGAUUAUGUAUUUAUUUAUUUAUUUAUUUAUUUUAAAAUAAACUAUACUUAAUAUAUGACUUUAAAAUAUAUAAUUAAUAAACAACUCUAUAAUGCUAUUUUUAUAAAAUAUUCAAAUGCACUAUAAUCAUCAUUUUUAAAUAUUUUUAUUGGUCAUUUUCUACUCAAUUUUUAUCCAAUUCGUAGGGUGCCAAAAAUGUGCCAAAAAGUGAUAAACUAAAAUCUAUGUGGAAUGCAAUUUAGGCCCCAAAUUCAUCUAAAAUAAGACUAUGCUUAUACCUUAUGAAGUUCAAGGGCAUAUUUGCAAUUAUCACAAAAGUGAGGGAUAGAUUUGCAAUUAUCAAGAUUACAAGAUUAUUCUUAAUAUUUCAAGAAUAUAUAUAAUAUUUUUUCUUUAUUUAAUCACAUAAAUGAUUAUAUUUUUAAGUUACAAUUAAGUGAGUAUGCUAAAGAUUAUUUAUAUAUCUUGAUAUCCUACAUACUACAAAUUGGAGAUUGUAGUGACUAAUUGUAGCAUAGAAUAAUCUUCCAAUAAUGCUUUAGUAUAGUUUGUUAUCAACUACAGGAGUUUCAAUUUCUUUUAUCUGCUUUGAUUUAAGGUCCAUUGAUAUUGAAGAGGAUAUACAAUGGAUCUGUUUAAAUAUGUCUAAUAGAAUUUGAAUAUAACAUUGCUAGUAAAAAUAGAUUCCUUCAAUAGUGUACUUUAAUUUAACUCCCAUGUAAAAUUUUGUCUCUCUUAAAUCUGUCAUUUCAAAUGUAUUCCUAAGACUUCAUUUGAAUACUUGAAUUUGUAUAGUAUCAUUUCUUGCAACUAUUAUAUUGUCCAUAUAGAGUAAUACAAUUUUGUAUUUUCCAUCUUGGAUUGUAAAAUAUAUAUUAAGAUCUUUGUUGUUCUUUUGUAGGAUUUGAUCUUGUAGAUAAUUAUCAAUGCAUCCAUAUUAGGCUCUAAAGGCGUGGCUUAGUCCAUAUAGCACCCGUUCUAGUUAAUAAACUUUUCUUUCACUCUCCUUUUCUUCAAAAUCUAGAGAUAGAAACAUAUACACUUCUUCUUUGAGCAUUUUAUUAAAAAAUAUUGUUUUAAUAUCUAAGAGUUGUAGUUUCCAAUUUUUUUCUUGCUACCAAUGCUAUGACUAUUGUAACUAUUGUUUAUCUAACCACAUAAGCCAAGAUUUUUAAAAAUUCUAUUUUCUCUUCUUAUUCAAAGCCUCAAGCUAUGAUCCUAGCCUUAAGUUUCUAGUUGUUGCCAGUUGAUUCUAAUUUCGUCUUGAAGUUUUAUAUGAAAAAAAUUGGGAUUUUCUUUUAGAUAGAUUUAUUAAACUCUAGGUGUUAUUUUUUUAUAUGGAUUCUACCUCUUGUUUGAUUGCAUUUUGCUACCCAAUAUGCUAAAUUUCCUCUUAAUAGCUCCUUGGAUUUAAUUCUAUUUAAGUUGUGAGGAUAUAACUAUCUUUAAAUCUUGAGUUAGAUUUUUUAUUUUGAGUGGAGUAAUUGUAAUAAUGAUUAUAUUUUAUAUUUUUUUGCUAAAGAGCUCUCCUAGAUGUAUUAGAAUCAUCACUUGAGAUGUUUUUGAAUAAGCCAUCAGCUUGUAAUGUACCUACUCCAAUGUAUAUAGAUUCUUCUUCAAAUUCAAGACUUAUAAUUAAGUUACUUUGAUCAUUUAUUUUUUAAUUUAUUAUAUUAGUUUUAUCAAUAGUUGACAAUUUUUUUUUUGAAAAAAGGUCUAUUUUUUAAGUUAGAAUUGUAUUUCUUUGUAUAUAUUCAAAAUCUAUUAGAGUCUUAUCAAACACUAUAUCUUGACAAAUUCAAAUUUUGCAAUGUAUAGGAUCAUAUAAUCUUUUGGCUUUAGGUUUAAUAUCAUAUCCUAAAAAUAUAUACGUAAUUUUUUUUCCUUUUAAUUCAAUUCUAUCUUCUUUUGGAAUGUAAAGAUAGGUAAAAAAUUUAAAUACUUUAAAGUGAUAUACUUGUGGUUUGGUUUUAUUGUAGAAUUGUUUUGAGGUGACUUUAUAGUUUGCUCUAGUGGAACUAAUAUUUAUUAGAUAGUUUACAAAGUAGACAGUUUUUUUUAUAGAUAGGCUCGUAAUUGACAUACAAUAGAUAUUGAGUGUGCUCUCUUAACUAUGGUAGAAUUUUUCUUUUUGCUAACUCUAUUCUGCUAUGGAGUGCAUGUCAUAGUGAAUUGCCUUCAGAUUCUUUGUAUUAUUAAGUAGUGUUACGGAAAUAUUCAUAAUUACAUAUACAAAUAUGUAGAAGUAAGUAAAAGUAGGUAAAAAUAAAUUAAUUCUAUAGUAUUUGAUAUGAAACCUUCUUAGAAGCUUCAUAGAUGCUACUUUGACUUCAUAGGUGUCUUUAAUUGACUUUUUGGAUUAUAAACGUGGUCAACAAGUUGGCCAUGUGCCACACAUGUUGUUAACUUGAAGAUCAAGCUAACAUUGUGGCCCACACGUAGAAAAACUUACCUUGUAAGUCAAGGCAUGUGUCCUACAAAGUCAACACAUAUUGGAGGUCCUAUAGAACAUCGCCACGUAGCUCCUAGUUAGAUAGUAUAUAUAGGAACAAGAGUGAAGCCUUCUUCACUCUUGUCAACUCCUUUCUUGCUUCCAGUCUAGUUUCAAGGGUCUUUAGUUUUCUUAUCUUUUGGCAAUAGCCAUUCCACUUGCUCUUUCAAUAGACAUACUUGUUUAUUUAUAUUUUGUUACUUUCUUUGAAUGAAGGCUCACUUCUCUGAAUUGCUUUUUCAUCAAGUUCUUGCUCUUGAUAGAUUGAUAAGAGUACACCUACAAUAUUAGAGCUUUGUCUAAUCUUGAUUAAGAGUGGAUUAUCCCUUUUUCUUGAUAAAAUAUAAGUAUAUUAGAAUUUGCGGAUUACCCUCUUCUAAACUGAUAUUGUUCUUAGUAUUUUCUUUAUUCUCAAGUCCUCUCUUCUAUUUGUCUUGAGUGAUAUUAGACAUCUUCUCUUUUCUAAGUGUUAUUAUGGUAGAACUUGUUGAAAUGAAGAGUGCAAUGGCACAAAUGCAAGAACAAUUGAAGGAGUUAAUGCUUGCGAUGCAUCAAUUCAAUUUACCACCACAAGGAGCAACAAGAUUAACAUGAAGUGAAGAUAUAGAAAUGGUUGGAGUUGCUUCAACAUUUGCACCAAAUCAUGUCGUUUUUCCUAUGGUAGAACGCCCUUCCAGUAUUAGAGAACUAAGAAUUGCCCUAUCCGAGAAGUUUUAUGGUACCAGAUUUAAGUUUCAAGGAUUUAUCAAUCAAGUGCAACUUGUGAUUAAACUUUAAUUCCAAAGCUAUCUAACUCCAGGAUCGCAAGUUAGAUUCAUUGAUACGCUUCUUUCAGAUUCAGUAUUAUCGUGAUUUUCAUCUUUUCUUGAACGAUAAGAUCCAAUAUCGGAUAAUCUAGAGGCUUUUUUGACUGAGUUUCUAUCCAUGUAUGGAGAACAUGAUGCAAUUCAUAUUGCAACCAAUAAGAUCCGUAUUUUAUGACAAAGCAAUUGAUCAGUAACGUUAUAUGCUUCAAAAUUUUGACAACUUGCAACUGAUAUCAAGUGGGAUGAUGCUGCACUUAUUAGCCAAUUUUUCUACGGAUUAGAAUACGAGGUAAAAAAAUUAAUGUUCAACUUACCUGAUCCUCAAACAUUGAAUCAAGCAAUUGACUUUGCUGUGAAGUGCGACAAUUACCUUUUUGAAUUUCGAUCUGAGAACCGUACAAGUGGACCUCAACGCUACUAUAAUUCAAUGGCAACACCAAUACCUCUUCAACACAUACAUUUGGAAGUAGAGGAUAUGUAAAUUGAUGAAGUACAUUUCAAACUUCUUACUGAGCAAGAAAAGACUCGUCGUCAUCAAGAAGGAUUAUAUUUAUAUUAUAGAGAACUAAAACACACAACUCAACAUUGUCCAAAGAAAUGACGCAACCACAAAAUGAGGAGUAUGGCUGUGAAAGAAGACAAUAUGUCAGAAAACAAGUUUGUCUAGGUACAAUAGGGACCAUUGUCAUGUUGUAACACGACUAUAUGGUAAAAGAUGAUAAUAUAGAUCUUAUUAUAGAAGAGCCAAGUUAAAAGAAAAAGUAGAAAAAUAUGGAUAAAAAAUAAGAAUGUAGUAAAACUUUUAGUAGUAAUGCUACUUUUUUAGAACCUGGGCCGGUUAUGAACGAGGGUUAUGAACCUCCAGUUAUGAACCAGGGUUUUUAACCCUAGUUUCUUUUGGAUGAUUUGGGUUUUAUGAAAUAAAAUAGGAUUUAUGUUUUGGGUGAUUUCAAGAGUUUUGUAAUAGAUCUAUGGAUGAAAUUUUGUGGGUUUAUGGUUAUAGUUGUGUUUAAUAUGUGUCGUGAAUUUAAGCUCGAUCUAAUGGUUGAAUUGAGGGAUAUUGAGGUUUAAGUGGGUCAAGGUCUCAGAAAGUAGAAUUUUAGAUCUAGUGGAGGGUUUUUAAGAUUUCUUGCAAUCUACUAGUUGGAUUGGAAUGAAACUUGCAUAAAAGAAUAUUAGACUUGUUUUUCUAUAUAUACGAGGAUUUUUAGAUCAAUCGAAUGGUGUAAAGAGGAGAUAUUGGCUCUAGAAGAUUGGUAUCAAGAUUGGAGAAGGAGGCUGGCUAAUAUCCGAGCACAUUUUUGAGGUUAUUGUCAAUUUGGUAACUCCAAUCCUUUUCAAUUAUUUUGUACUUAUUUUGAACUUAGUUUGUAAGAAGUAUGCAAAAUUUGAGUUAAGUUCAACGGUUUAUUCAUUAGUUAUUGAGGUUUAAAUAUGUUGUAGGAAUUACUAGGAUUUGGUUUAGGAUUUGGUUAUGAUUUGAUUUAGGAUUUGGUUUAAGGUUUGAUUUAGGAUUUAGGAUUUAGGAUUUGAAUUAGGAUUUGUUUUAGAAUUAGGAUUUGAUUAGGUUUUGGUUUAGGAUUUAGGGUUUGGAUUAUAGUUUGAUUUAGGAUUUGAUUAGGAUUUUAUUUAGGAUUUAGGGUUUGAUUAGGAUUUAAAUUAGGAUUUAGGAUUUAAUUAGGAUUUGGUUUAGGAUUUAGGGUUUAAGAUUUGAUUAGGGUUUAAUUUAGGAUUUUAUUAGGAUUUAUUUAGGGUUUAAGAUUUAAUUAAUUUGGGCCUAAAGUUUGAAUGAAGUCCAAUAGGAUUUUAAUUAGGAUUAAAUUAAGAUUGAAUUAAAAGAUAUUUGUGAUUAUUCUAAUAUUUCUUUAAGUUUUCUUAUUAUUUCUUUAAAAUUUCUUUGAAGUUUUCUUAAAUUUGAUUAAGCUUACUUAGCAUUAUUAUGGUCUAAUUAGAGCAUUAUUAGUAUUCUAUUAGAGUUAGGAUUUUGUUAUUAUAAUUUCCAUUCUUCUUUCCAAAACCAGGUGCCCAGAGCAUUCUCAAGCAAGACUUCCCAUAUUACAACACCGUGCGGCUGGAACCUUGGACAACAUCUAAUAAAGGUCAUAUUCUCUCCUUAGAGCUCUCUCGUUGUUUUAUAUUAAAUGUUAUUUUAGGACCAAAAUAUUACAAAGCCUUUGCCUUGUUAGAUUCAAGAGCCUCAACGUGUUUCUUAGAUGAAGAAUUUACGAAAAGACAUAGCAUAUCUUUAGUAAAGAAAACUAAACUUGUUCAUAUAGAAGUCAUAGAUAGUCAUCCAUUAUCUUCUGGAGAUAUUACUCACGAAACCCUUCUUAUAGAAGUAAUAAUCAAUGGUCAUAAUAGCUUUGUAGUAUUUAAUAUCAUUAGAUCUCCCUCUAAUCUAGUCAUUUUAGGUUUAUCAUGGUUAGAAAAAUACAACCCUCAAAUAGAUUGGAUUUCCCGAACUCUUACUUUCUCUAAAAGUAUAACUAACAGUGUAGUUAAUCAAGUAGAGAGUCAUAAGUCCAGUUCAAUUAAACCCGUAUUUAUAAGUUCAAAAGCUUUCUUGCAUGCUGCUAUGAAAGAAUCACCAUAUAUUAUUUAUGCCACACUUGUUUUUACUGGUGGAAAGACUUCAAGUGGCAUUCCAAGCUAAUAUCAAGAAUUUUAAGAUGUAUUUGAAAAAAAGAAUGUGGAUACACUCCCGGAACAUCGUCCCUAUGAUUGCUCAAUUGAUCUUCAAGAAGGAGUACAAUUCGAGUUCUUGCCCUUAAUAAGUAGUCAUUAAAUUCAUGUAAUAGAUAUUUUCUCCUUUUAUCUAUCUUUAGAUAUAGUAUUUUAUUUUUUAUUUUCUAAUCUAUCUAAUUUUUAAAUUUUUUAAAUUUCUUAUAUGUUUCAUUCUUACUUUACAAGAAGGAUACCAAAUUCUUCCAAGAAUAGUCAUCAAUGAAUACUACAAAGUAUUUGAAGCCUCACAUGGAUGGUGUUCUUAUAGGUUCCACAAGAUUAUAGUAUAUAAGUUAUAGUAUCUUUUUUGCUCAAUGAAGAAAAAAAUUUGGGAACCUUUUUCAAUAUUAACAUCUGAUAAGAUAGUCUUUUGUAGUGUGUAAAGUAGUAAUAAUCCUUAUAUUUGAAAAGCCCUCAAAAAAUGUUAUAAAGUAAUAUAAUAUAAGUACUCAAAUCUUUUAUGCCAUAGUCUAGCAUUGUUUGUUUGUUUUCUUUUUUUCUUUUUUUCAUAGAAUUUAUUUCAAUGAUAAUAGAUUUUGAUAUUUUAUCAUUAAAUUAAUAAAGUCUAUUCUACUUGUUUCUUAUUUUUAAGGCACUUAAUUUUUUAUCUUGUUCGAAUACUAAAAAAUAUUUAUUUGUGAAUAUAACUACCUUGUUGUGAUUUAUUAAUAUUCCUACUAAGUUCAAAUUUUGAAUUAAGGCUUAGACGUAUAAAUUAUCAUGAACCUUAUUAUAUCAGAUGCUGAAGUUACAUGACCUAAACUAGCAGCUUCAACUAUAUAGAUAUUGUUAUUUACAAUUUUUACAAAUUUACUUAGAGAUUAUGCAUCUACCAACUAAAGAUUUGAAAUUUUUCUAAUGAAGUAGUUGCUGACUCCUAAAUUGACAUACCAAUUCCUAUCAAUAAGAUUUACUUCACUUAUAUUUUUUCUAAGACUUCCAUAAGUACUUCCAUCUAUAAAAUUUAUAUUGGAAUUGUUACAUUGAUUAUGUGUAGUUUUGAGCAAUGUGAUUAGAUCUUCUUCAUGCAUAGCAAAAGAAUGAUUAUGUAUUUUUAUUUUGUCUAAAUCUAGUUGUAGGAAUUUGCAAUCUUCUUUUUGUGAAGUAUGAAGCUCUUCCAGGUCUAUUUUGAAGAUGUUGAUUAUUCAUGUGAGGUCUUGGCCUCUUAAUGUGAUGUAAAGAGAAGUAAUAUAAUAUUCCUUAAUCUAAGUUUUUUCUUCUUUGACUUCCUUCUUAUUAUAUAAAGAGAUUGUAUCUAUGUCUAUGUAACUUUGUUUGUUGAAAUUGUAUUUCUAGGGCUUUCUCUUAUUUCAACUUUUUCUCUCUUAUAGCCAUGCAAUGUGUUUCAAUGAGAAGCUUAUCCAUAAUAUCUUUAAACAUUGGUUGUUGUAUAUGGGUGAUGCCUUGGAUCACUAUUUUUUAGCUUUGUAAUAGUGUAUUGAAGACUAUGUUUAUGAGAGUCUUGUCUCCAAAUUCUUCAUUAAAUGUCUUCAAUUAGUUUUUUUUAUAUCUAUUGCUUCUAUCAAAUAAGUAUUAAUAUUUUUUCAUUCUUUUAUUGUCAUUCUAUUGAGUUGAUUAAUAACAAGAUUUGUUGUUGACUUCUUGCAUGUUACAUUCUUCUAAACAUAUCCAAUAAAUUUAUAAGGUGGCUAUGUUGAAAAACUAUCAAACUGUGUGGAACUGAUAUGAUAAGAUAUGAUAGAGUUCUUUGCUUUGUUUUUGCAAGUUAAAUUUUUAUAUAAGACUUUUUUAAUAUAGUAAUAAAAAAAUAAUGAUACCUCUUUAUUGGUUUUUAUAAUAUUCCAAAAAAAUUAUUAUUUUAGGAUGGUUGUUAUUUUCAAGCUCCAAGUAAAAUAAUUUUGAAUUUCAACUAAUUUGCUCAAUUCUACUUCUCACUUUGGAAACUUCAAUUUUCUUUCAUCCAUUUCUUUUGCUAAAUUCUCUCUCUAUUUCUUAAACUAGAAGCAAGACUCAUCAAACCUAAAAACCUAUCAUAACUUUGUUCUACUACCAUGUUGCAAAAAAAAUAACUUCCAAGCAUAUUUGUCUCAUUUUAAAAAAUGAUUAUAAAUACAUUAUAGUUUAUCUUAGCCACUUAAGUAUGGUAAUUGUAAUUUAUUUUAAUCCUAAGUAUAUUAAAAGAAUGACAUAGAAUUAUAAAGAUGAUUUGAAUAAGUCAUGAUAAUACAAAAAGAUAAAAUGACAUUAAGACUAAUAUGAAUGAUUUUAUAAUGACUCAUUGUUGAAGUGACAUAGAUCAAGCAAGGUGGCUCAACGGUAUAGUGGCAUCAUGCAAAGCCAAAGCACAAAGUACUUGUGCUCGUUUGAAGAUGGUACAAAAUAAGUUCUUCCUUGUUGAAUGAUGGAAGUUGGAUGCCUAUCCUAAUCGCAAACUCCAUUAUCUAUGAUCUUUUAUUUCAUGAUGUUUUUAACUAAAAAGAAUUCUUAGAAAUUCUUGGCACCAAAGAGUCUUUUAACUUGAAGACUCUUUUGAAUCAUAUUUUAAUCAAUGAAUAUUAAAAAAAUAGUACCUUAGCCACUAAGCCAAUAAAUACAUAGAAUAGAAUGAUCUUCUAAAAUUGUGGGAUGUUUGCUAUAUAAUUUUGCAUGAGCUUUGGAUUUGGCAACAUAGUAUCAAAUAUGCAUAUUGCAACAAAUAUUUAAAGUCACAAUCUCAAUGAUAAUAUGUCUAUGAUUCACUAACAAAUCUUUGUAUAUUUUGAUUGAAGUAAUAUUAUUUAUAAUUAUAGUAAAAAAAUAUAGUAUAUUAAAUUUAUUAAUAUCUACAUAAGAUAAUAUAAGUACAUAUAGAAAUAACAAAAUUAUUAUAAAUAAUAGUUGGUUAAAAGUAGAAUAUAUAUACAUGUAUAUAUUAUACAAAUUUUUGCUUUGGAAUUCCAUUCUAAUAAAUUCCAGAGAAAAAUGAUGCUUUGAAGUAAUGCUACUCAUGAUAUGUAGCAAUAGCAGCGAAGGUGAAGAAAUAUAUAUAUAUAUAUAUAUAUAUAUAUAUAUAUAAUCAAUAUUUACUCUUGAAUCAUACUAUAUUUUACUUUGGUGAAAACAAAGUCUUUCUAUCAGACAUCAUUAUUCUUAUAAAUAAAUCAUUGUCAAGGUGUGGAUUUGAUAUCAACAAUUUCAAUUUGAUACCAAAUACAAACUUCAAACCUUCAUACCAAAAUAUCUUUAAAAUAUCAAAGAAUACUUAUUUACUAUUGAUGAAUUUUGUAAUGUGCAAGACACUCCAUUUUUACAAAUUGAGUCCAAGAUUUUAGGAAAAAAGAGUGAAAAGAUGCAAAGAGCUUGGUUGCUUUGGACUUGAAGUAACACUUUUAAGAAAAAUAGCUUUGUAAUCAAUCAAGAAUAAAUUUGUAACAGUAGUGGUACCAAUGAUGAUAAUAAUGGUGUCCAAUUUGUGAGGUGCUUGAAUUGUACCAAAAAGUGUUGCGCCAAAAUAUGUGGUAUGAAAUUUAGGCUCCAUAUUCAUCUAAAACAAGACUAUGUUUAACCUUAUCAAGUUCAAUGGCAUAUUUGUAAUUAAUACAAAAGUGAAGAAUAGCUUUGCAAUUAUUAAGAAUAUAAGAAUAUUUUUUAUAUUUCAACAUGUUUUAAGGAUAUAUAUGAUAUUUUAUCUUUAAAAAAUUAUAUUUUUGAAGAUUUGAAUAACUUAUUAAUAUUUUAUUAUCUAAUUUUAGAAGAAUGAUAAAAUAAGAUAUUUCUUAUUACACUCAUACUUGAAUAUUAUACAUAAUUGGAUAUAAAAGUUUUACAUGUAUAACUUUUUAGACCAAACACAUUUUAUUUAGAAAAUCAUUAUUCUUUACAAUAAGUGUGAUAAAAAAGAUAAGUAUAAUAUAUAAAUAUAUAUUUAUUAAAAUAUAAAAUAUCAUUUAUAUUUAUUUAUUUAUUAAAAUAUCAAUUAUUAUAUAUAUAUAUAUAUAUAUAUAUAUAACUAUUUAUCCAAUAAUAGAUGAUGUAUAAGAUUGCUCUCAAUUCAAGCAUGAUCUUUUUUAAAAUUAUUAUAAUUUUAAAUAGAUUUAAAGAUAAGUUUAAUAUGAUAUUUAUUAUAAUAAGUCUAAUUGACUAUUGUUUUACUACAAUUCUUCUUUUUAUGAAACCUUAUUCUUUAUUUGUUUUUUUAUAUAUAUAUAAAUUUGAUAAAAAAAUAAUUAUUAAUAAGUAGAAUCAAACUCUAUAAAAGAUUUGGUCACUUUAUAAAGAAAUUAUGUUUUUUAAACUUCUAUUGUAUAUAUAUUUAUUUCUAAUACUUUUAACACUUCUAUAUUAUUGUUAUCUAAGCUGAUAAAAUUUUGUAUAGGUAAAACAUAUUUUGAUAAUUAUCACUUUGAAACCUUAAGUUUUCUUAAAAUGCUAUCUCUUUAUGAAAUAACAUCCAUCAUUUGUUUAUUUGGAUAUAUCUACAUAGUGUAUGUAAUCAAAGUUAAAAAAUAUAUAUAUCUAUUGAGAAACUAAGAAUUUAUUUGAAACUUUAGAAAGAAGUUUUGAAAAUUGCAUACAUAUUCAAUACAAGUGAUUAAUGCCAUAUUUUUAAAAUCUUAUGUGUGGUUCAAAAUUCCUUAAAAAUAUAAAUAAUUUUUCUUGUGGUCAUCAAAAUCCAAAGUAUAUAGUUUCUAUUUAUUAUUUCUUUAAUUUUUUUUAUCUUUGAUCAUUUAUUCUAUUAGAUUUAUGUUAGAUCAACCAAACCAAAUUUGUAUUUUUUUUUUUAUUUUUUUGUAGUUUUAAAGAAAAAAUUGAAGACAUAAAAUACUUAAUUACUUAGUGAUUUGGAUAGAAAUUGAAAUAAUCACCUUUAAAUUACUUUUUUCUAUUUAGAAUUUUAUUUUUUCUAAAUUAUAAAAAUUAGACCAAAUAAUUCUAUAUAUUUUAAGGUAGAAGUUUUAAAGAUCCAAAACACAUUUAAAAAAAGAAAUACUUAUGGUUUGUAGAUCUUGCCAUGAAAAUAUUCUACAUUUAAUAUGCAACUUAGGAACCACAUUCUUUUAAAGUAUUCAAGUCUUUUUAGCAACUUUAUAAAUUAUUUUAAGACUUACGCUUCAAAUAUCACAUGUUAUUAGUCAAAAUAUAUAAUAAAAAACUUGGCUAUAGAUUUUUAGUGUUGUUAAAGCUCUCAAUCCAAUCAAAGAUUCUACAAGAAAUUAGUUUGUAUAAGAAAAUAUUGAUUAGAUAGAAGAGAUUGAAUUAUAAGAUUUAAAUCUACAUUAAUUUAUGAUUUUUAUCUACAAUGCAUUUUUUUUUUCUAAUAGGUAAGAAACAACUAAAUAACCUUAUAAUUAUAUUAUAUAUAAGCAUUGGGCAUUGAUCUUAGAAAAUAUAGAAUUAAUUAGUUAGAAUAUGUAUUAAAAUAAAAUAGGUAAUUAAGGACUAAAAUUUAAUUGAUCAAAGAUGAAAAAUAAAAAUCUUUAUUAAUAAACUUUUAAGAUUUUUAUAUCUAUUUAUAUCCUUAAUUGUGUUGCAAAAGAAAUAGGAAUUUUAUCAUUUAAAAUAUAUAUUUAUAUUCUAUUUUGUUUGAUAUUUUAACUAAUUAAGUUUGAUUAUUCUAAAGCUUAGAAGAGUAAGAAGAUUUGACUAACUUAUAUCACAGACAUCCAUAUUUACUUUAAUAAUUACCUAGAUAAUAUGAAUAGGUAGAAGUAAAUAAAAGUAGAUAAAUUUGACAAUAUCUUAUAGAAAAGCUUCUUAGAAAAUUCAUAGACUUGUCUAUAGGUGAUUGGUAGGUUGAAUUUUUUUGAUUAUAGGUUUGAAGGUUUACCAUCCAUAAAAAUAAUAAUAACCACAAAUUUGUCUAAAUAAUUUAUGUAAUUAUUUUGAAAUAUUAAAAAUUCAUGUCCACUAAUUGGCUAAAACUUUUCUUAUACAAACUUUCUAAAACUUUUAAAAAAAAGAACAAUUUAUAUAGGGAUUUUCUUAUAAGAAUUAAAGGCAUUGAAUUUCAAUAACAAUUUCCAUAGAAAGAGUGAAUUCAUUGUUAUGUUCUUGUUUCCUUUGCCAAUAGUUGUUGUGGUUCUGAAGUAGAAGGUGGUUGUAUUUCUUUUUGCAUUCAAAGCCAAAUUUGUCUUACACAACCAGAGUCUUACAAAAUCAGCAUACAAUCAAGAAUCUAUGGAAAGGCUUUGGAAACAUUUGGAUUAGAGAUGUAAUUAAUUCCAUCUUAAAAGUACAUGGCUUCUUAAUUUAUUUUUAAAAUUAUUAAGCAUGCAAUGAAAUGCUAUAAAACAAAUAAAUAAUAAUUGCUACAUAUUUUCUACACCAAGAUUUCAAUGGUUCAGAAGAAGAUCUAGAAAAUGAACUCAAUUACGGCAUAUUAGGUGAUAUAUCCGAUAUUUUUCACGCGUACAAGUCUGUUGAUGCAAUGCUUCAACUAGAGUUAUCUUUUAAAAUGCAGCUAUUAAAUUCGCGGUGUAUUUAAGUUAUUUUGGUGUAUUAACAAAGAUAACUUGCAACAUGUCCCUCGAUUUUGGAAGAGAAAAUCAACAUUUAGAGUGAAUUCGUUCACCAGUAGGUAUUUACACUCAUCUCAUGCAUUUGGAAACGUAAAAAGUAAACCUCUGAUACUAAGAAGAAUUGUAAUAGACGAUACGCGUAAAAAUGUAAUGGACCACGCUGUAGAUUGUUUUCCAAACUCUCACGACAUUAAGGAAUUCGUCAUCAACACAUGUGAUUCUAGAAAUGGUGGAAGACUAGCAAAUAUAGACUGCAGACAGUCUGCGUGCGGAUAAUAUUUUCAUAGAGAUUCUGUGAAGGAUGGGAUAGUGUGGCAAACGAUGUCAAGUUCUAUGUACAAGAGUGGCUUGGUUGGCCGUCUGACAAUCAAUGAGCGGAUGAAAGAUAAGACCACCUCGCUUGCAUUCACAGAAGAUUCAUGCACAUGGUGCAUUACAUCUGCUGAACACUCUGGCAGAAAUGGCACAUGUUGCCGUUUAGCAAAGUAUGAAAAUCACACGGUUUCGCUGUGUGAAUGCUCAGCCACAUAACUCUGCUAAUUAGAAUCAGUAUUAUCUACGAGCACUUUGGCAUAAGUGUAGACAUUUCUCCCUAAUCAGAGUGUUCUUCACCAUCAGUUGCUUUUACUAUAGCAUGUGCACAUACUAUGGAGGAGAUUGUUAUCGAAUUAAAAAUUUACAAUUGACCUUUCAGCAAUCACUGAAGGUAUGAGGGUGCUUGAAGAAUAUCAGUGCUCAGCAGAUGCAACUUCUGGUGAACAAAGGAGUGCACUGAAUUUCGAAGCGGUGAUAGAUUCAGAAAACACCUAGAAACAUAUUUCAAGCACCAGAAAGGACGAUUUGAUAGUUUCAGAGCGGUUCUCUGAUUAGAGAAUUACCGUGGUCAUGAAACGGGGUUGUUUGCAAUUUUCGCCACCAAGCAGCAAUUCUGGCUGCAAAAAAUCUCCAAAACACAAUGCUCAAAAUUAGAGUGCUAAUUGGAGGUCAGUUAGGUCUCCGCAUCUUAGUGAUUAAGGAAGGCUCCUUGUACGAAACCACCCCAACGGAUGCUCGUCUUGAAGGUCGCCCCCCAACGGACGUUCUUGACGGAGGUUGCAAUUGAUCUGAUUCUAUGUGUUUAGAGGGAGACGACCCCCUUGUUCUACUUAAGGAAGAUCUCGAGGCUGGAAGUGAAUGCGUAUGUUGGACUGGGGAAGUGGAUCCAGGCGUACUAGGUUGCGAAGAAGCUUUCCUCUGCGGCGUUGCAAAUCAAUCAUUAUAAACCACCACAUUACCAAGUACCAAAUUACCAAGUGUUUGUCAUGUGGUGGGCUUAACUAAGAUAAUCUGGAAAUACUGGAGUCUUCACACAUACCUGUAAUGCCACUUGAAUUUCACUCCUGUUGCGAGGGGUUGUAGGUUGAGAAGCCGAUCUUCGUUGAGGAGUGUUGGGCCGCGCUGGUGGGGGAUUCUUUUCGCAAUGGUUCUUACUGACCUUAACUGAAAGUCUCGGUUCAGAGGAGUGAGUUACUCUGGCUUCGUUACAUUCACUGGUGGAGGUUAUCUCGCCAGCUCUUUGACCUUCGCUAAAAGAUUCAUAGUUUGCAGAACUCUCCCUCUCCACAACCUCGCUAGACAAAGAUUCCAAGCAUGGGUUGCCUCGAGGGAGACGAGAAGUACUGUUGCUCGAUGAUAGAGCCUCAGAUUCCUCGACUUCUUGCAUUGGCUCCAAGUUAUAGAGAUGGCCGUACCGGUUGUUAUACCGCUUGGUUGUGCACGCAGGAACUGGAGCAUUGAAAUAAGGCACUGUGAGCACAUCAUAGAUUUGGUCUCUACGAAUGAGGAAGUAAAUACUAAGUCAGCGUAUCGGCGAGCUAGGCUGCAACCUCUGAGAGACCAAUUUCAAGGACGCUAUGAAGUUUCACUUCUGGUAAAGGCAACUAUCGCGCAUAUGACCUCAUAAAAAUAACGCGCUAGAAGAUACUGCAGUGUAAGGGCGUAAGAGCCGCAAAAACCCUUCCGAGAAUGUCAGGAUGUGAUUAUCAUUCAUCAUGACCUGAUGCACAUUGGAUCAAGACAUUGCACAAACAGAGAUUAGAUGGGAGACUCUAGAGCGUGAUGGGACAUUACCUAUAAUGGGCACAGACGCGCAAUCGUGUUGCCUAAUCUUUAACUUCACAGAGGUAUCUUUCUGAGGCAGUGUACCCGCUUUCUGACGCACCCCACCUCUGCAAAAAUAUGUAAAACAUUGUGAAUCUUUGUUCCACAUAAGUACGAGAAGGCUAUCACAAGAUCAAUAGCACAUGCCAGCGGAAGAAAAGAGUUCUCCGGGAGAUGCAGUCAGAUGACACUAGCAAUCUUACAAAGAAUGGAAUCCAAUGUUUCUACGGAAGUUUAGGUACUAGCACUCAUUAUGGAAUCCACUAGAACUCGUUUCCAGUCCAUCGGCACCACAGAAAGUACAGGAUGUGAGGAGAACACUACAAUUAAUCGACUGGCGAUGCUUCUCAUAUUACCACUAUGUGUUUCUGAAAUACUAUUACCUUGUUGUAACUGCAGAGGUGUCAAGGCUGCUCAUAGAAUGUGUAUUUGUUGAUGGAUUCCAGAUGUCUGUCUCAAGUCCCACUGCGAUUGAUCACGUUCAUAUAUAAAAAAACCAAUUACAACUUUUCGAAUGAAAUACGAAAAUAACUUGCAUAACGGAAAGGCACAAAUGUCGGGAGAAGAUCAGUGACGCUCCAGCAAAAGCAAUCACCUCCUAAUGUCAUUGAGUGCCUUCGUGCAGAGGAAUUACGUGUUCGCCUUACGACGGUCGGUGGCACCCCGUCGGAAUUCAACGGUUCAUGGGAAGCCUGGAAGACACAAAGUUCAUCAGCUUCUAUAUCGAAACAUUCGAGUACUGCUUGGCACAUAUUGUCGAGUCACUUGAGAUGAUCGGAUAAACUAAUAGUAAAGUCCCUUGUCUGUAAUUCACGAGGCUGAUGAAACAUACACCACUAAUAUUACAAACAAAUUUCAGGAUACAAGCUAGGUAAUCAAGAAAACACCGCGAUCAUUCUGACAUUAUUUACCUUCUCCUUCUCUUCGCACACCCGCCUCAGCUGUUCUUGAGCCUCUGCAAGUCUCGUCUGGUUGAGAGCCGAAAAGCUUAGUAUCCAUGAUACUCGGCAAAGAUCACUCUCUUCAGAAUUGAUAACGACUAUAAUGUAGUGAGCAUCUGAGGUUGUCUCGUACUACUGAUGUCAUUAUAAUAAAACCACUCAGCCUACAGAUGUAAGAACAAAACAGUGGAUAGUCUCAUUGUUUUGAAAUGAAUUAUCCUCGGAAUCGAAAGCAAGUGAAUGAAGCACUCGGUUCAAUACCUGCAGCUCGCUCUCAUUAACUUUGUACACAAUGGUCAUUUGUGUAUACUCAUGGUGUAACAUUUUCAGCUGUUAACGAGGUAAAAGGUCAAGCCCAGAUCAAACAUGGUCGAGAAGGUAAACUGGGAGCAUAUAGCAGUAAGACAAUGCAUGAAAGCACAGGACAGUAUUGGAUGGUUGAUUAGGAUGGGCGCUUACUUGCUCGCGCACAGUGCUGAGCUCCUGCCAUACAGCCAAACAGCAAAAGAAACACAUGGAGAAAUUCUACUGUCAUUUAAAUCCAAAAAACUUCUCUCCCUCUCUCCCUCUCUCCCUCUCUCUCUCUCUCUCUCUCUCUCUCUCUCUCUGACUUAGACGUAAGAGGGGAGGUAAAAGCAAUUUAAUCCAAACUAGAAGGGUUCAGCUCACAGAGCCAAUGAGGGCCAGUAUAGGUAAGGUGCGUUGUCAUGGAAGAUGUAACAUACUGUCUUUGUCCUUAGUCUGUCUUACGAGAGAGGUCAUGAGGUAAUAGAAUUUGACACGGAGCUGACUAAAGUACACAUCACACCCAUUUGGACGGUGCAGUUGCGAAUAAGGGGGGUGAUUGCUACGGGAGGCACAAUUACGAGAACAAAGUUUGGAAACCAACCUUGGAGAGACGAGUGUUGAAACCGAUAAUAUCCUCAUUUUGCUGAGAUCGCUUGUAGAUAUUAGCGUAAAAAUCUCGUUGCAUCUUGUGCAUAAAGGACUUUUGGGAUUCUAUCUCGUGUCUGAGGAGAUUGAUUAAGUUUUCCAACACAGCACAUCAUAUUAAUUUCUGCAUAGCAUCAACCAUAUAAAGACGUUUGGUAAUGAACAACUAACGAAGUAGUCUAAUGAGAUUGGAGAAGUACGCUAAAAACUAUCAAUUAUGCACUCCAAAUUAUAUUUGCUCUUUAAAAUUAGCACGUGUCCACUACGAAGUAACUACAGCCGACAUUAGAAUGUGUGUGCCUCAAUCGAAGUAAAUUUCAAUUGAGACAAUAGCACGAGUUUAACAAGCCUAGAAGAUUUGGUAGGAUACUCUUUUUCCGCAAUAACUAGAUCCUUCUCGAUGUUGAUCUGCUCAAGCCUCUUGAUCUCCUGCUCGCAAUCGAGUUCAGGAUUAGUUCCAGCACCACGGACAGACCCACGGUGAGCCUUUCCAACCACACGCCCGUAAAAUCGACAUGUGUUAAGAUAUAAAUUUUAUCACUACUAAUUCUAUGUAUUCAGAACGGGGAGCAUGCAAUGGCUUGAUGUUCAAUCCCGAGAAACGAGGAAACAGAGAAUCACCUGUUGGAGCUGCAAUUCAGUGGAGCCGCAAGUAUUUUUAACAAGAUCAUUCUCGUUAGACCAGCUACCGCCAUUGAUGAGGUUAGUAAUAUUGGACAGACGGCGCCUAUGAGACGACGCUGUUCCCAACGUCUGCCUUCCCGUCCUUUCCCCAACCAUUACUUCCUCAAACGUUAACAACUGUAUGAGAUAAGAUUAAUACACACUGAAAUGUUGACUCCUACGAUGCGCAAGGAGUUCAGGCUUCUCCUGCACUCAUUGAUAGAAAACUUUGAGUACCUGUCGUGGAAGGAAUUCUCUCUUUAAUCUGGUGUCAAUGUACAGUGGACCAGCAGGACGUCUACAGUGACAAUUUGGGAGGUUCUAGAUACUGGAAUAGGCCAGGGAACAAAGGGCGACAAUCAAAUCCGCAACGUACAUUGAACGAAUAGGAAAUUCUACGGAAACUCGAUAAGAGUAUAUGUCCCACUAACAGCGGAACGAAUGUAAAAUUAACGUCACAGAAACACGGAUACAAAGCUAGUUCAGGGGGACAUUCUUAUUGAUGAGGUAUUUUCGACGUUCAUGCUGCAAAUCUCGGACAGAGUGAAGCGUGCUAGUUCCUGUAGAUCGGAAAACCCGAGUUACUGAGCGGAGGUUGUCCUAGAGAAUCUAUUUUCUGUUGAAUACCUUUUCGGUAAGGAGACGACGACAUUCAGAAAUCAUUACCGAGGUGAACCAAGACACACGAGCACUUUCUUGAAUUAGCACCAGCCAAUGUGUGCAAGCAGUCAUUGGCAUUUCCUCUAAGGGAUAGAAAACCCGAUAGCAACUACAUGUGCCUGGUAGGGAUCCAAUUGAAGGUUUAAUCAAUUUGGCAGUUGCCCCGCCAAUGAUUCGAACCUUCCCAUAAUGUUAGUUAUUUUUAAGCGUUGUCAUACAAAACUACUGCCUCUCUCCAAACCAAAGUUUCUACGCCACAAACUAUCCACGCAAGAUCCGGACAUGGAGAUUCGAUAAAGAAAUCGCCAAGUGUAUCCGCAGGGAUGCUCAGGCAGGUCCGACUCAGCCAAGAGAAAAUGACCCUAGCUCUUUGACUCACUCCUAAACCUCUCAACCGCAGCACAGCGAACACAAACCUCAAAAUUACCCGAAACCAAAACUGCUCCCUACAAUGCUCCCCCCCAGGCACAAAAAAGAAAGGAAGAAAGGAAGGAAACAGACUCUACUACCGAAGGCGCGCCUGCUCGUUCGCCUACAAAUUUGAAGUAAACCAGCUUCUGACACCGAUUUCGGGUGCUGAAGGACUCAACGACCUCAACGGAAUGCGCUCGCCUUCGAAAAGGCUCAAAACUCGUCAAAAAAAUCCUGCGAGGUAGCUCUACGAUAUGAAAAACCGAACCGAAGCAACAACGGUGUCUUCGAUCUCGAGCCGGCACGACAAUCAAAGCAAAGGGCUGGAGGUAGAAGAAAAAUCGACAACGCAAACAGACAUGAGAGUGAGGUCUGGAGCGGAGCAAGGCCACAUGAAGGGAGGCUCGGGGAGGCUCAGCCCAAGUCGGGGACCAACGGCUCUACGAGGCUACCGUUUCCCAUUCUAAUUCUGGACCCGAGGCAAGGUCGUGAACUAGGUCCGGAAUUCCGACCCUGCCGUUCGAAUACUCCUAGUUUAGUGGCGUUCCCUGGACACGGCCCUUAAUAAAAAGCCUACUACCUCGCGUUCUAUUCCUUUGAGAACGUGUUCCCUGAGCUGUCAUUGGAAUCUCAUGUCUCUCAAUCCCCAGUUAAUAAAUGGGUGAGUACAGGUAUAGAAAAUGAUCAACUGUCUUUUGGGGAUUUGCCAGGAAAUGUAGCAUGGGUCCAGUUCAAUGUCAGCUAACAAAGGCCAAAAGCCAUUGGAGCAACUCUUAAUUGAACUCCUACACAAACGAUGGUCAUGGCAUGGACACUUAAUAAUAAUUAAGAACCGGCAUUUAUGGGGAUUAGUGAUAAUUGUGCAACUAAUUGUGUGUGUGUGUGUGUGUGUGGGGGGGUAUUUACUUCAUUGCAAAAGACAGAAGCACAUAACAACAUCAAUUCUAAAAGAUUGUAUGAUCAUUUAGAUUUUACUUCGAAAUUUAUUUUAAGAAAUUAAUAAUCCAAUUACCAUCAAAAACCUUGAUUGAGUUACUUGCAAAUAUAGUUUUUGAAUUCGUUAAAUGAAUAACGAAAUUUACAUGAACAUGUUGUAAAUAUGAGGAUAGUUAAAACAGUUGAUUGCUAGAUUGAUAUUUGUAUUUUUUAGUUGAUUUCACUCAACUUUGUCUUUAAAUGUUACAUGUAAAUAUGUAAGUUUGUGAUGAAUAAUUCAUCAUCUGUGACAUCUUUAUCUAAACAUUUAUUGACUUAUAAAACUUCAAAAAGUUUAUUUAAAAUUUUAUUUGGCAUUUAAAAUUUAUACACAUAGAUCAAAGAUUGCAUGAAAAAAAAUUAAAGAAUAAAAACAUAACUACAUAGUAGUAUGUUGAUAGAUUACCAAUGUGUUUUUUGUAACAUGUUUAUUUCUAAUUAAUAACAUUUACUUAUCAGCUAAAUAUAUAAGAGUAUUUAUAAUUUUUCACCAUUUAUCUAAUAAUUCAAAUGUUUAUUUUGAUGUGUUAUAAAAAAAUUAUACUUACAUGUUAGAAUAAAUUUUGAAUGAUUUAAUAAAUUAACAUCUGAUGGUAAAUACUUAAUGAACCUCCAUUUUGAUAUUUUGCAGUUGUUACAAUUGAAAACAAUCUCCAAACAUAUCCAUCAAUGUAACAACAAUUUUGCAGUUGUUACAAUUGAAAACAAUCUCCAAACAUAUCCAUCAAUGUAACAACAAUUUUGCAGUUGUUACAAUUGAAAACAAUCUCCAAACAUAUCCAUCAAUGUAACAACAAUUUUGCAGUUGUUACAAUUGAAAACAAUCUCCAAACAUAUCCAUCAAUGUAACAACAAUUUUGCAGUUGUUACAAUUGAAAACAAUCUCCAAACAUAUCCAUCAAUGUAACAACAAUGUAUAAAUCAUGUUAUAACACUAUCCAUGAUAUAUGCUAUUGAAUAGGCACUACUACAACUUUUAUAUGUAUUUCACUUAUUGCAAUGAAGGUGUUCUUGUAAAAAGAUGUAUAAAGGGAAUAACCAAUAUUAGUAGACUUCAUUUUAAAAGUUUAAAGAACAACUUAAUCCUUAACUUGGAAUACUAAAAACAAAAGGUAUAAGUAUUAUCUGUUCUAUUAAUAGUAUCAUUAAAAUCUAACAAAAGCCAUAUUUAAAACUAUACAAGCUCUACAACCUCUCUAAUCUGUACCAUCUGAUUUAUUUCUUAAAAUUUCUUUAAUCCCAUAAUUCAAUCUAGAGAUCAGUCUUCAAUAAUCUAUAUAAUAAUAAGAGUUUUUAAAAGUGGAAGGAAUAUUAUACAAUAAAAAAAAUCACCAAUAAACACUCUCAUUCUUCAAUAAUUUGCAUUAGUUCAAAAUAUACAAACUAUCUUGUAGUAAAGCAAAUUAAAAUUUGUAAUUAUUACUUAGUCUUUGUAUAUCAUGCCUAUAAGCUAUAAGUUUAAGACACUUAAAAUUAAAAUUUUAUUUAUUCUUUAAUAUUCUCACAAUGUUCUAUAUAUGCAUAUAUAUAUUAUAUAGUACUAAUAAAUUGUUAAUAUUUUUUAAUAUAAAAAAUAUUUUUAUAGAAGUAUAAAACUUAUACAAAUGUUAAAUUUUAAAAAAUUGAAGAUAUUAAUUGUUAUUAGUCACAAUGUACUAAGAUGUCUAUAUGUUCUUUAAAAUUACCAUUAAUAUCAAAAAUAAAGAUUUUAAUCCAAAAUGAUAAUAUGUAAAGCAAUAAUCAUGUUACUUGUUGUUGUAUUGAAACAUGCCUAUUGGAUAAAAGAGAGAAGAAAAAAUUAUAUUAUAGAAGAUCUUAUUUCAAAACAUAAUAGCAAUUUACCUUGGAAAUAUAAAUAAUAGUCAAAGGAGUAGUAAAAUUAAUAAGUACAAAUGGUGUAUUUUUAUAAAAUAGGCUUCUACUUUCCUUCUAAAGCUAUAAGCAAGAUAUAACAAGGUAGAUUAUCAAAAUUAGCAUAAUAGGCAUCUUAAGAUAGAAAUAAAUAGUACAUUUUGAUAAAAUUUACUUAGAAUAACUAGACAUUAAUACUUAGAGAGGACCAAUUAUAAUCUUAGAUCAAAAUCAGGCUCUAAGGUACAAAACCAUACUCUUAUGACAAAUCCAAAGUUCUUUUGUUGAUUGGAGAGCAAGAUUAGAGAAAAAAAACAUAAUAGGAUUUGAUUGUAUGUUGAUUUUGAGUGAUGUAGGCUAAUAUUAAAAUUUUGAGAGCUUUUCAAAGUGAAAGGUGUUUUAAGUGGUUUGAGUUUUUGAGAAAUAAAAGAGAGUUUAUAUGUUUUUAAAUUCUAUUAGCAUUCUAGCAUAUUAACAGGUGAAAAUUUGUAGACUUGUACACCUAUUUUUUUUAAUUUUUUGUGAAUUUGAACUCAAUCUAACAUUUAGAUAUAAGGUUAUUAAAAUCCAAUCGGAUUAGAAUCUUGGAAUUUAGAUUUGGAUUGAAAAGGUUUCUUUGAUUUUGAGUCAUAUUUUGGUUGGCUUAACACAAAUUUUUAUGAGAGGGUUGUGAAUUAUUUUUUUAAAAAAAUUUCUAAAUUUUUGUGCAAAUGAAUAGUUCAAUAAAGACUUAUUGUUGUUGAAGUUGAACAUGAAGGUUUGAGAAAGAAGAUAGCUAACAUCCAAGCAAUUAAGGAGCUUUUUCUUCCAAUUGGUAAGUUGGAUUCUUCUUUUAAUUGUUAUGCUUGUUGUUAAUUAUUACAUAGUAAUGUUUGCAAAAUAUUUAAGAAAAAUCAAUGGUUUGAUAAAUAGUUAUUGAGGUUUUAAGCCUACCUUAGGAUAGGUUAAAGUUGGUUAUAUUUUGAUUUGGAUUUCAUUAAUAUUUCACUAGAAUAUUUUAGAAUUUUAUUAAAAUUUAUUUAGAAUUUGUUAGGAUUUUUUUAGGGAUUUAUUAAAUUUUUAAAAGUUUAUUUAGGAUUUAGUUAGAUUUGUUUAAGGUUUAAUUAGAGUUUCUUUAGAAUUUCUUUAUAACUUCUUUAGAAUUUUAUUUUUUUAGAAUUUAUAUAACUUUUUUAGACUAUAUAUAUAUAUAUAUAUAUAUAUAUAUAUAUAUAAUGAUUUAUUUUAUAAUAUUUUUUUUAAGGAUCCUUUACAAUUUUUGCAGGAAAUUUGUAAGCUUUCUUUAUUUUUUUAAAAGAUUUCUAUAUAACUUCUUUAUGAAUUCUUUAGCAUUACUUUAGGAUUCUUUUUAAUAUUACUUAUGAUUUCUUUGAUGUUUUUUUUAAUGAAUUAUAUAAUGAUUCUUUUUAUUAUUAUAUUAAGAUUCUUUAUAAUUUGAUUGAGGUUUGACUAUAAUUAUUAAGGUUAAAUUAAGGUUUGUUUAAAAUUUUAUUAUGAUUUUUAGAUUCUUUAUUUGAUUCAAAUACAAUUUAUCUUCCACGACUAGAUUCUCAAUGAAGUUUUUGGCUAGUUUUUAUACAACACAACAUUGUUAAAUUUUUUCUUCAUAAGAUUUACAAAAAAUGUUUCUGUUGUAAUAUUUUUUAUUUGUAGAUUUUAUAAGUCCGAAUCCAUUAGAUAAUCUAUAUUUUUUUGCUCAAGUAUAUGCUAAAAAUAUAUGAUUUUAAUACAAAAUAUUUAUGACAUAUUACUUUGAAGAAUACAAAAAAUAUUUAAUAGGCAUUUCACAAAUAUUGUAAUGCCUAUUAAAUAUUUUUAACUAUUGAAUAGAUAUAACUAUUGAAUAGAUAUUUAAUAAUGCCUAUUAAAUAUUUAAUAUACAUUCCAGAGUUGGUAAUAAUUACUCGAAUUAUUUGAUUUUUAUUACUAUUUUUUUAAAAUAAUUACAUUUAAAUAAAUUUACAAGUUUUUAUUUUUAUGUUUACAACAUAAUAAAUCCUAACCCUUAAAACAUCUAAGAACCAACUAAUUGUCUACAAAAAAAUUCCACAAUUAAAAUAGUGAAUUUUUAAGAAUAGAAAAUUUAUCUUUUAAAUAUAAGAAUGUAUUAUAGUUAUGUAAUAGAAUUUAGAAAUGCAAGUUACAUUUAGGUUUAAAAUAUCUACUAUAGAAUAUAGUAUCAUUAUUAUUUUUUAAUAAAUUAAUUUCUAUGAGAAUAAAAUAUAACAUAAUUAGUAUAAAUCCUAUAUCAAAACAACCAUGUUAUAUAUUAAUAUUUUUUUAUUUUUUGGAUGGAAUUUUGACUCAAAAUUGCUUGUUGUUAAUUCAAAUAAGUCAAUGAGUUGUCAAUCUUCAAACAAUACAUUUUACUAGAAAAAUUAUUUAAGAUUAUUAUUUUUUAAUUCAUUAAUUGAUCUUCAAAUAAAAAGUUGAUAACAAAAAAAAUUACACAAAAUAUAUUUUUUAAAAUUUUUUAUUGAUUAACUACAUUUAAAACAAAAUAUACUACUAAUUACAUUUAUAAUAUGUCAAUAUAUAACAAUAAUCAACAUUCUACAAGGAUCAAACUCUUAAAGAAAUGGAUCCAAUAUAAUAAUAAAGUUGUUGCUAAUUAAUUUAAGCAUUAUAAUUAAGUAUUUAGAUAUUUUUUAUUACUACAAAUAGCUAUUAAAUUUUAUUUUUAAAAUUAAUUUAAAUCUUGUAACAAUGUAAAUAAAAUAUAUUUGUACUAACUUAUUCUUGUGUUUCAUGUUUGUUGUGGAUUUUGUAAAUAAUUGCCACAACAAGAAAAAGAAAUUAAAUUGUAAUACUUUAAAGAUUUUAAAAAUUAGUUUAAAAAAUAAAAAGAAAAAUCUAAUUCAAACAUGUGUUUAAAAACAAUAAUAUCUAUUAAUCACUGAGAUGCAAGAGUCCUACAAUGAAAUUUUUGCUUUGUUUUUCAACUUAAUACUACUACGUAAUGUUACUAUUAUACAUUGUGCAUAUGCUUGAAUUACUUUCAAUGAGAGAUUGUACCUCAAAUUAACAAAGAAGCAAUUCUACAAUAGAGACAUCUCCUGUAAUCCAUAGUUACUACACGAGUGUGUACAAAUCCAACAAGACACCAGUUUUUGACUCCUUUCUAUAUUCUAUCGUUCCUCAUCACUUCAUUGUUUUGUCUCUCUUUUAUACGAAAUCCUUCUUAUAGUGUGUAACAUGUCAGAGAUUUCCAUAGCAAUUAAGAUAGGUUUACAUUCACAAAUAGACAGCGCAUAAGGAAACCAGAGAAGACGAUGAUCUGUCGGAAAAGAUCCGCAAGCUCAUGCUCCCGCUGAGGUUCAUGCUUCGGAGCUAGGAGAUCAUGACUAGGUGGGCACUCGGCACUGCGCUUCAACCUUUCCAAAACGAUGCUACUACUGGUGCUAGGCUUCACAUAAAACUUCAAGAGGAGGAACACCACAGCUCACCGGAAAUCUGUGGGGAGAGCGGCGUUUUGCCCCCGUUUGUUUCUAAGGUCAGGUGCUGAACCCACAUGAUCGAGGAUGUGUACUAGUGCGAGCGUGAAAGACGACGACGAUCGAAAACAAUGAGAAACGCGAGGGGAGCAUAGAUGGUUGUAGGAGCAUGAAUAAACGGCGUCGGGAUCUGGUCCCAGAUGAAGGUAGAAAGAGAGCAAGGUCAAGCAUCCUGAGGGCGUUGGUGCCAACAAGAGAGACAAACCAAGCAAGGUGACAGGGAUCGUCUGGACGAUGGCUUCUGCGCUUUCAUCAUGCCUAAUCUAAUACCUUGUCUGGCAGUUAGAUCUCCCUUGCCUAACCUCUUGUCUCUUCGUACAUCAACGCUAAACCUUCCAGAUAGCGAUUCUAUAUCCAGGUACCCAAAGUUGUGAUCGACUACAUCUCUAACGCAGUUAAAGCUUCGGGAUAAAGCAUAUUGGGGUGGCUGGUCCAGCAGACCGCCAUAACUAUCUGCUUCUGCUCCUAAUGAGAAGGUGGUGAGUGAAGAAUCGGUGUCUGAAAUGAAGCCACCAUCGUCAUCGCAAUCAUCGGGAUCGUGAUACGCAUCGCUGUGGUCUAAGUCCUCCGUGUCGAACUCUGUCUCUUGGACUAGAGGAUUGGGCAUCGUUGAGAGGCUGGUGGCUUGGAACUGCUUGUGUGCGUCUUGAGGGGGUUUCGUUCCGCCAUUUCCAAAGAGAAAAGAAGAGGCAACCGGAGUAUUGAAGGGGAAGUUUUCUUCGUCCAUUUUCGUCCGAUCUUUCUUAAGUUUUUCGAGUCCAUCCUUCACUUGUUCUAAAGCGGGCUUCUCAAGAUCUGGUUCAUGUGUCUUAUCCGACUUCAAGCGUCCAGAAUUCAACACAAAGUCGUUCAUUUCCGAUUCGAAUUCCAACCACCUGCUGUCUGAUGUGAGUGGGUCGUCCCCCGCUAUCUUUGCUCGCCUGGGCUCUACAUCACCGCCACAAGUCAGACUAGACUGGGGAAUGUCACGUUCAGACACAUCAACUUUGGCUCUAAAACUCGAACAUCCUGGAUCAGCAGAACGGUGAUAUCUGCUUCCAUUUAUGUCAAUGGACAAAAUCUUAACUGGCAACUGCUUCAAAUCCAAGUUAUAUGACUUCCUGUUUGAGGACCAACGCUCAACUGAUGGUCUUGGUUUUGCUUCAGAUGUAGCAAUUUCACCAUGCUGUCGUUCUCGGGAACAAGGUAAUGCCAGUUUGUUAGAUAUUUGAAAAAUAGUAUCAUCUUCAAUGAUAAUAUCAUCCUCGUCAGUAUCAUCAUAAUCAGACAUCCCAUGGACCGAUAUGGAGCAACGGCCCAGGUGGCUACUAUCCUGCCAUUCAUUGGCUCCCACUUGAGUAGAUGGGGCACACUGUUCAGUAGGCAGGUUUAGUCUCUUCGAAAGGUUUCUUGAAAAUUCGUAUCCAAACAACCUCUCCGAAAACGUCAGAGCUGCAGGGCAACUAGCACGAGAAUCAACCCAGCUUCCCGGAGAACAUUUGUCAUUCUUAGCUGCAAUAUCAGCACUGCUUUGAGUUCGUUGGUGGUAGCGGGAACAUAUUUGCGCCGCCUCUACCCCUCCAUCAAAGCUUGAUUUACCUAAUAGCUGCCCAAGAGUUCUGUCACCUGGGCGCCUUUUCCCAGUUGCUCUUGCAUCAGCAGUAUUUAAAUGUUUCGGAUUGAGAAUGCUGCUGUUGGUAUCGCUUCCAAUUUGUGGAGAGGGAUAUAUCGUACCACUCGCAGCUUUCGAUUUCUCCGGACGCGAUGCGGUCCCUUUCACGUCCCGACGACUGCCAUUAUCACCUAGAGGUUUGCCACUCUGCUCUCUUACACCAGCAUGAGACAUGAUAGAUGUGGCAACAAUUGUCACUCCACGUUUAUUACCACGUGGAUCAAUCAAAUGUCCUUGCUGCCCUUCGCUUCCACAAGAUAUGCAGGCCAUUCCUGAUCGGAUUUUCUCUGAUAUCAGAGAUGACAUAGACGACUGUCUACUAAAAAACUCACCUUCUUCGUCAUAUAUAUGGACUCCCAUCAAACUUGCUUUAAAGUCCAGCUGAAACUGCAUAGAUUCAUAAGCUUUUUCCUCGUUACCAGAAGCUCCUCGGCUCACUACCGACAUCAGGUUUACUGGAUACGAUCUUCCGGUCAAAGAAGCAAUACCCUUGGCUUUGGAAUAGUCGUCUUUGUUUGAUUUGCGAACCGGUUUCCUGCCCAUUCCUUCACGUUGUUUCAUUUUCCACACUUCAUCCGUGUCCAUCACACCGAGAUGUGACUUCACACCCUUGUGUAACCGGCUAUCACUCCAACAACUAGCCAUAUCUUAUUCCUCUGUACUCAUUCCAGCUGAUACGUUCUUGCUAUUUUACAAAAAUCUGCAGUUCAUCCCCAACGGCCAUGUGUAAGCACAGAGAGAAGUAAAUGCAGUGUUGAAUUAUUGAGGGGAUCUCUUGAGGAUCUGCACCAUGACCAGCCACGUCUUCCCCAUUCUUGUUGCAGAUAGUAUUGCAUUGAACAAUCGAGAAUAAUACUACCGACCAUAUACCUUUACUAGUCCUUUUGAACUUGAAAUGUGAGAAACCGAUUCAACAACAUAAACAACUGCCUGCUUGUACCUUCUCAUGACGUUGCGUUAAGUGAGAAAGAAGCUUCAUUACAAAGGUAUGACAGAGGUAACGCUCCUACGGUGAUGGUCGAUCGACCAGCGUUGUUAUAAAUUCAUCCUCCUAGUGCCUAAGGAUGAUCUUGCAACAAAAAGUGUCUUCAUAGUUUCGACUAUAAACAUGAUCUGCAAGCAGAAUCCCCUCGGCUCUAGUUACAAGGAUGUUGGAAAUUUCAGCACAAUCCCAUGACCGACUGAGAUCCACUGCGGUGUUCGGUUUCGCUUCACCCGAUCAUAACAGUUCAACACUGACAGGCAAUCGAGGCUAAACAAGAUACUAGUUGAGCAGCUUCUUUCUCACUUAACGCAAAGUUACGCUAUUGGCUACCCUAAGCUGUAGUUCAUUAUCACAUUUGAGUAGUCCUUUUUUUGUCAAAAAAUGGGCAAAGACCCGAGGGCCGGUGAUGCCUGCAGUUCAUAGUCACCCACUCAAACACCGCACUACAGGUUUCGAAAAGCAGCUACGACACCAAAUUUCUCUAGACGAAACCGCAAAUUUAAUAAAAUUGAAUAAUGUUAACGUUGUCACGAACACAAUGUGUAAAAUUACGAUGGAAAAGAAAUUAUAACAUCAGCCAAUCUACAACAACGCAAAUGCAGAAGAACCUACUCCACAUCCUAGAGUGAGAGAUUCAACGUCUUCAAGUACAUGAAAGCUAGAACUGAACACAAGUAGAGACACAGUGCCCUGUAUCCACACCGGACAAAUCUUAUCAAAAACCUAAAAGUAAUCCCCGAUGCCAUAAAUCAGCCUCAUGGAGAGACCAGUUAGCAGUCGGGUGAAAGAGUCGCGAAGCAUCCAGACUGUUUGCAAUGAAUAAUGGCUCUCCGAUACAUCGCACACGACGUGUAUUCUAAGGUGACAGAAACUACAGUUGACGGAAACAUGCGCACCUUACAUUCACCUUCACGCGUCUUUUCAGGUAGCAAUACAAACUCCACUUUCUAGAAGAAUGCUUGAAGGUACUGCUUCAAUGCCACACUUUCAGACGCCUCCGAGAGUACGAGGAUGCAAUCCACAUCGAAUGAUGUAAUUUCAUCGGGCAGCGAACCGCAAGGAAACUCUGAGGUAGUUCCGACACUGGAAACGGACACAAUUAUCGAUGAAGCGAAAAGAAAUACUCGGACUAUUCACACGUGGGGGUCACCAUAGCACUAGAGAUCUCCAUUGCAAUCAUGCACCAUAUUUUUCAGAAACUGCAAACGUUCUUCAAAUCCAACUCAACUGUACACUAUACAAUUCAAUGAAUCCGCCUACCCAAACUGUUGCAAACGUUUGGAACAUGUUUCCGGCUACCUAUUCUCACUACCUCGACUGCAGAUACGGAAGAAUUCCGGCAUCAACUUCAAUGGCCCCGAGCUCGAUUCGUCAAAACAAGCACCAUAUUAGCGUUUCGCUACCCCGAGAACAAGUAAAGCUACCGGCAUUGUGUCGGCAAGGGUGCACCUUCUCAACACGGGAGCAUCCUCACAACAGGCAUCACUCAAAAGCUACGAUGAACUCCGACCUCCCAUACUCUACCGAUCACCAAGCGCGAAUUCCAGAAUGCCCACAGGCCCAUGGGUUCCAGACCAUCUCUGAAUCGCUACAUCCCGCCCGCUGAACCGUCCUCCUUCACGAAGCAUUCACCGAAAUUCGAGCUACCUGCACGAGUGAUGAGUUCCGCACUCCCUCACGGCCGCGAAUCCAACCACGACGCACACCAGCAGGCACCCAACCAGGUGGAAAUGGCCCCGCCAAUCCCGCAUAAACAGUACCGCCAGCUGUGAGUGUGGCGCGUCAAAUCUGAGUCCGAAGACUGGCUCUAGCCCCCCAGGGGCGCCAAGCCCGCCCAUGAGGACAUCCUCGGCUAAAGAAUCAUGGGCGUUGCAUUGGCACCACCCGGCCCGACUCGUCACGGCUAGAGUCGUCACCGCAGCCACAGCGAGUUGGAUAAAAGUCAAUGACAUGGUUGCGCCGCAUUGCUGCCACCUUCGACCCACCUCCGAUGCUAACCUUUCCCGUUCCUAUGAGUUUGUCAGAGCGGUGGCGGGCUUGCCAUGCCACGCCGCGGAAUUAGUGUUCACACCGAGUCGCCUUUUUCCGAAUCUCUCAGUACGCAUGGUCACAGACACCAAUAAACAAUAACAAUAAUCACAAAAACAAAUACAACAACGCUGGUCGUCCCUCAUCGCUGAAACGGAUCGAUCUAGCACAACGGAAAAAGAUGCCAGGCGCACCGCGACUGCUGACGACGCCGCGGACGCCGCUUUGGCACCGUCGCGAGUGAGUGAAUGGGCACUCCGUGCACACGCUCUCAUUCACACAUUGCGUGGUGUUCCCUUCCUGGUAGGAUUUCUUAUUUGGUCUCCAGUUAUUAAUGUUUCAUGGUUGGUUUGGGAACUGGUCAAAGUUGGGGAAAAAAAGAAAAGAUCCUUCUCUCUGUGAAUAUUUAUAUAUAUACUGGUCAAAACCGGUGCAAUUGGCCAAAUUGUUUUUGCAUAAUUAAUACUUAUGUUAUAAUAUAAAAUAGUAUUAUAAUUAUAAUGAAAUAGUAGUAGCCUCAAUUGGGAGCUUCUGAGCUCCACAUUUAGUGAUCUGGUAGGGCUACUCUCAGCAAUUUGCACCAACAACAUGCAGAUUUUGAUAUUUCAUUGAUCAAAAGUUGAGUUAUUGCUUUAAUUUUAUUUCACUUUUGAUGAAAACAAUUAAAUAUGCAACCAAUUAGAGAUAGUUUUUGUCUCCUCUUGUUUAUCUUCAAAAUUGUUUUAUGUAAGAGAUAUGUCUAUAAUAUAUAUAUAUAUAUAUAUUAAAAACUAAAAUGUUAGUAGCAAUUCUAUUGAUUAUAUGAUAGGUGUGAAAAUUAAUAAAUUAAUAACAUUUAAUUUCUAUCUAUAAGUUUAACAUAAUAUUUAAUUAAAUUGAAAUCUUUAUAAAAAAUGAAUGUAAUCAUGAUUAGUUCAAAUUGUUUCUAAUUUAUAAUACAUCAAUUGGCAUGCAAAAAAGUGUGCACAUGUUUACUUUUAUAUAUAGCCAUGUCAAUUUUAUGUAUCAUAAAUUAGAAAGAUUAGUUACAACUGAUCUUAUAAUUGAAAAAAAUAGUGAGUUCAAAAGUUUAUAACUUAUAGGAUCAGGCGCGGCAUCUAUCGUGUCGUCGAUGCCCCGAGCUCACGUUUUCUUCGCGUGCUGCUGCUGUGCGUUGUGCUGUGCGUUGUGCUGCUGCUGUGCUGCUGUGCGUUGCAAAUCGAGACUAUCGAUCCGGCUUCGAAAAGUGCAGGCGGAUUCCUUGACUAAAUCCCGCGCGCAGGACUUAAAGCUGUGUAAAGUGACGACGCGGAGGUGGUGGGGAGUCGGCUCUCUCACUGCUGGCGUCCCCCUGAGCUCGAGCAGCAUGGCUGAACUCGCAUCGCGAUGCGUCUCCUGCGAUGCGUUACGAGGAACAUGAACUCGCUCCUCUCAGAAGAACCAGCGACCAGGGACCAGCUCCUUCGCGUCCCUGUGGCAGAAUGACCAUAACGCAAACGUUACAAAACAACGGACGACCCAUCCAUCGCCUUGCGUUUCGCACGUUGCUCGCACGUCGUGGGGUAGGGGACUGAUCUUAGGCUGGGAGGGCAACGCCAAUGGGGACGGGAGCUCUAUCUCUCCCAGUGGUGACCCACAAUUAACCAAAAAGAUGCUUUUACCUCUUGCGAGUUCGUUACCGGCGGACGCAAUGGAUCGUUUCUAAACAUAGCACAUGCACCCGAUUUCACCGCAGAGGGUGGGAAAAUUGCCUUUCUGGAAGGAUGGCCACACGUAGAAGCCAAGGAAGCAAGCUAGCUACAGACACACAUGGUCGACUCUUUCCAUCUAUCAUCAAAGUCGAGCGGCGAAUCUCACUCCUCCCAGUGGUGUUUGAAUCUCUCUGGAUUCAAACGUCACAUACGCAAGCAUUAUGCGUCGCUGAAUUGCUAAUUCUGGGGGCAAGGCAUGCGCGGUGUGGGGGGAGAGUGGGUCUGUACCCGACGUCUUUCUCGCUCCCAUUUUCGUCGCUUCCUCACUCUGACGUCGCUUUUCUUAUUUGUGGUCUUGUCUUUUCUAUAUCUGUUUCUGUUCCCCUCUCUCUCACUUUCUUCCUCUCGGAACUUGGAGCUUCCAGGGCACAUAUGUGCUGCACACAAAGAGUCCCGGCGCAGGAAUUAUUCAAAACUCUUGAACAUCCUUCCUCCAAGCGGAGGUGCGAGUGGACUUCGUCGUGGCCUCGGGAAUGGCUCCCCAAAUGUCGUUUGUUGUUGUUGUUGCAACAUGUGUGUGUAUGUAUGUAUGUAUGUAUAUAUAUAGUGAUAUGUGUUUUGAAACUGAUUGAAGGUGCAAUUUCAUUGACGGAAAUGUAUGUCGUAGAGCAUAUCAUUAACUACUUUUGAAUUUCAACCCUAUCUGUGACCUCAUCUAUUCUACAGUUCUUUCCUCGUUUAUUUUUCUUUUUCUCUUCUGUAAAUCAAGACGCUUGAAUAUGUAGGUAAGGAAAAGUAUACAAUCGAAAAUAACAUGGAUUUUUUUUAUUAUUUAUAUUUUUGGAUCAAUCACCUCACAGAUAAAAGCUAGCCUUCUGUCGCAACUUGAGGAUUUUGCAGCAACGUGGAAAAAACUAAACGAUUUUCAAAUACAGAGUGAAAUUUCAAACCCAACUUUAAAACCAAACGUGUACGCAUUUGUGUAUAGUUCUACAUUCAAUACUACCCCAAUGAUCAAAUCAGAUGUUCAAAAAGUUAGUGAUAGUAAAGAACAGAUUACAAAAUAAGAACAUGCAAUGAACGUGAAAAUGAAGAUCACCGAAAAAAGUUCAAACGUUAGCAUUCUCGACAUAUUUCUAAACAUAACAAAAGUUGAAGUUCAACCAUGACGAUAAAGUAGUCAUUGUUUGAAAUCCAAUCAGUCUUGAGACACUAACAUGUACCCCCCUUCCAUCAGACAAAUCCACACAAAGAUACAUUAACAUAUCUUUAAAAAUGAAAAACACAAAAAUAAAAAUAAAAAUAAAAAUGAAAGUUUGCAUCAUACAACGUGCAAGUGCAAAGAACCAUCUCAACAAAUGAAUAGAAUAAAAUAAAAAAUAAAAACAGAGUAGAUGAAUGGAAAUGUACAACAGAAUUAAAAUUGUAUCAAACCACAUACAUGCAUACAUACAUAUAUAAACUUUCUUCUUUUCUUAGGUUUUUUGUAUUGUUGUUGGUUUGGUGAAAAGACACGAGGCUGUAAUAACAUUUUUGAACUGGUAUUUCGACAUGUAAUUGAGGUUUCACUAUUACGUAUUAUUCCAGAGGAAUAUCAAUGCUUUGUGAUGCUUUGUUUGUGCUUAACACAUGAUUAUUCUGAUUGGCCAUUUUUAGUAAAAACCAAAAACCAUGAUAGUACUUUAGACUUAAAUUGCCAAUUUGCGGAUGUUUCAUGUUUUGUCAUAUACCGAACACCUGAUGACAAAUUAUUAAUGACCUUUUGAAAAGACGAAAUAAAUUAGCCAACGACGAAUAUUCCUCCAACCCCAUUACAUUGCCUUCAUUCUAUUUGCUGCAAACACGAACAAGAACAAAACAUUCUAUUUAUCCACAAGUUCUGAUUGAUGGUUAAACUAACAGCCACGUAUGAAAAUUUAAUAAUAUAAUGUAAUUUUGAAAGUGAUAUUUUUAGCUACGGAAACUUUGGCCAAAGGGGUCUUAUCUUCACUAUCAUUGUAAACCCCUCAAAUUGUUGCUUUUUCAAGAGAUCAACUGAAAUGUGCUGAUCCUAAUGAACGAAAUUUUAAAAUCAUAAUCUUCAACAUCUGAAAGUAUUGAAGUGAUUGGCUAUUGCUAUCAAAUUUCGAUGUUGAUGCAAAAAUAAUUUUGUUGAAAUAUAUAUACACAUGUGAGUAUAUUUAUGAAUUUAUACAAUGAUGAUGUGUUGCGUGUGCAAAUAUGUAAAUAUUUUUAUACAAAGAAACUUUUGUGGGGUGUUUUGGGAUGUUGGAGUUCUACAGGAAAAACAAUAUGUGUACAAAUUUGACAUGAUAUUGCAUAAGAAUGGAUUUGUUUAUGUUUUGGUGGUAUCUGAACUAUAAAACACACUUGUGCCACCUAUAAUAACAUGAGAAAUAUAGACUGAUGUUUUUGUCGUUUAAGAAUUUACAAGUAUUGUCAUUGCACUCUUUGUCUUCCUCUGUGUUUAUAUAUAUUUAUAUGUAAAUCUUUAAAUGUAUCAAAAUCCAACAUGUAAUAAACACCUUAACUAUAAAUAAGUAAGAACAAAAGAAAAGAAAAGGAUAAACUAUGUAUUAGAUUUGAUUAAAAGGUUAAAAUAUGCUCUUGAAAUACUUAUAUACAAAAUUAAAAUAAGAAUGUAUUAAAACGGAGUAAACAUUUAAGUCUUGUAAGUAACUUAUUUUAAAACAACUAAACAUAAAUAGUGAUAUAGGAGAAAGUAAAAUAUUUUGGAUUGAGGAAGUAUUUGUAAUAAUGAAUUUUGGUGGUUUUAGUCAUUCAAAUUAGAAGAUAACAAUAAAAAUUACAAAUAGUUUUUUUAAACUAAAGACUUUCAAUGUUUUUUUUUUUUUUUUAAUUUAUUAUUAUCAUUCUACUCCACAUGUAAAAAUCCACUUUAAUCUCAUUUAUAAAUCAAUUUUAAAAUGUAUCUUAUAUUUUGUCUGUGGAUAUACACAUGCAAAAUUUUGAAACUUGAAAGAAUUCCAAUAAAUGAAGAGAAUUGCUCGGUGAAUACCUCCCUUUUACUACAUUGACACCCCCCAUGUUAUGCACCCUUGCAUACCAAUCCCUACAAAUAAAUAACUAGUUUUGAUUCUUACAUCAUAACUCUUGUUAUGUUUAUUAUUUUAAUACUAGAAUUUGAUAUACCCUUGUUAUGUGUAUUCUAUGGAUCCACAUUAUCCUAGCCCUCAACUCUUUUGUCAUUGCAAACCUUUAUCAAAUUAAGUUUUUAAAUAAUCAAAACACAAAUGAUUGUGUAUUAUUUCUAUUACUAUUUAUCAUUGCCAAAGAAAAGAAAAGAAAAGAAAAUGAAUACCAUCAAAAAUCAAAAUUAGGUAAGUUUUGUAAAGGUACAUAUGCAAGGAUGCAUAGCACAGAGUUGUCCAUGCAACAAAAGGUGGGUGUCUAUUUAGAUGUUCCCUAUAUAAAACUUAAAACACUACUUUUUUUUUAUUUAUUUUUAACAACUUGUCUUCAAAAAUUACUUUUUUGUUAAUCAAUGUAAAACAUUUUUCAAUAAAUAUAACAAUAAAGUAUAAAACUUUCAAUAUCUUAUUUAUUUUUUUAAUAUAAAAUACAAUAUUGUUAAAUUAUUAUCUGAUGUUUUAAUAUUAAACACCACAGUUAAUAUUUGACACUCAAAAACAAUUUUUUAUUAUUUAUAUUAUAUGAUUUAAUUAACCUAUACAUUCCAAAAUACCAUUAAAAAACACAUUUAUAUUGCAUUUUGUAUAAUAGUUCAUGUUAUAAAAUCUUAUAGUUCAAUUUACUUAACGGCUUGCUUAAGUAAUAGAAUAAUUAACUUUAAACUCUUGACUAAUAUAAUAAUUUAAUAGUACUAACAAUAUUCUACAAAGAAGCACACUUUCCUUAAAUUCACUUGAAUGUAUAUACUUUGACUUAAAACCAUUUAUGUCAAAGUAAGCAAGUCAUUUAUUGGACAAAACAAAGAAAUUUAUUUUUAAAUUGAUUUUAAUUUAAAUAAAAGUAUGAAAACAUUUAUUUUAUACAACAAUGUAAUACAUUGUUGUCUGGUUUAAAUUGAAUACAAUAUAAUCUUCUAAUUGAGAAAAAGUUUAUAAUAAAAUCUUAAGAUAUGUUUUACUACAUUUUGGAUAAACUCACCAGUGAUGGUAACAAACAAACUUGCAUUUUUUUGUUUAAUCAGUGCUUUACCCAAGUACUUACGUUCUAUUAAUUUGAGUUUUUUCAUACCCAACCAACAAUGUGUUUCUGAUGUAAGUAUUUAAAUAGUUUUAGCAUUCAAACAACCAUCAACGGCAAUUUGUGAUUUCUAGCAUUUAUUUUUACUUUUAUUUUUAUGAUUGCAUAAUUAACAACCUUAAUUUUUGGCAUACAUUUAAAACCCUUUGUGCAGCACUGUAGUAUAUCGGCUUGUGUGUAAAUCAAAACAAAGUACAUAAAGAAACAAAACUCACUGUUUUCGAAAACCAUAACAGUGCAUUUAUAUCCAAAAGGAAUUUACAAACGCUUCCACAAGAAGUACAACACAAUGAAGCCAUUUCAUCCAUUUGAGAAGACCCCAAAAGGGGAAAGUCUAUUUUAGGGGUUGAUAUUGAUUACUCCCCAGUUCAAAAGAAUGCAAAAUGUCAACAGGAAGGCGCGCGGAAGAAAUCUGAUUCGCCCCAGUCACGAAACCCUAAUCUAGCCCUAAUUCCCGUCGCGUCGCGUUGCAGAUAGGGACUAAUCGCGCGACCCAGAAGGAAGAAUGAUCGAUUUAUGAACAAUGCGGAGAUGGGUGUGCAAUGAAAGAACCCCAAAAGAAUAGAAACAAAUUAAGGUGGGGGUUUUAAUGCCGUGAGAAAUUCCGUGAUCGCCUUGCUCCCUAGGGUCUGUGGUAACAAUCGUAGCUUAUCGCUCGGAAGAAUUCCUCCACAACCUCGAGAUAGAACGGAGAUUUAAGGUGCAUGUAGCCGUCGAGAAACUCCUCGAUGUCGGCCACCUCGUCACUGUCCUGCUCCUCAAGCAUCAUGUGGGCAAUGUCGUCUUGAAACGCCGCUACAGCUUCUUUUUGCGAGAUGGAAACGCAACCUUCAGCUGAUCGGAAGCUAGAGAACAUGCCCGCGAUGUGAAGGGUUUUCUGGCUGUAACUUGCUUCCAUUUUCGGAGGAGGGGUUGAGUUGGAAUUUGGGCUGGGAUUUGCAUUUGGGUGUGAGCUAGUGGGCACCAUUUUUCUGCUGGGUUUUCUCUGAUUCGGAACGGCUGCUUUGGUUGAAGAUUCGCCUCGUGGCUUACGAUACUCCACCCCGUUGUCGUGAGGACCAUCCCGAAACAAGGACGAGGGGCUUGUUACCUUCAUGCGACGUAGGAUUCGACUUCGCUGACGUGAUCGGCCUGAGUUGUGAUCGCGAUUCGCACUCCACUCCUGCGACGAUGUGUCUGAGUAUUGAACCGGUGAAUAGGCAUCCGAGCUUGAACUGUUCAGGGAUUCGUCUGCCACAUACACCAAGUCUGAAAAUCUUAGAUAUAUGAUUUUGGAUGCAUCAUGAUGUCCAGGGUUUGUUGAAGCCGGCAGAGUUUGGGAAUUACCUGGACUGUAACAGAGGUCUUGUUGGUCGAAACUCGACGAGUGGGAAGAAAUCGAAUGUUCCUUCUCAAUGAUGCCAAGUUCUUCAACAUCGAAGGAGCCGAAAAGUUCCUGGCUUUUCGUCGGGGAAAGCUUGGAUCUACAACCUGUUCUGUUGUCCGGCGUGGCAGACAAAAUAGUUUCGGGGACUGAAAGCUCUGAUUCCACUUUUGAAAGGCACGAAUUAGACAAACACCGCCCCGGGGAUUUGGACAACGAACCUUGUUCCACAAUGGAGGCGCAUUGAAGUGCAAAGUUCUCUGUACUGGAAUUGAAGGCUGAAUCAUCAAAGUACUCUCUCACGCGAUCAUGCAUUUGCAUACGAUUCUCCAGUUGGCCACGUUCACUUUUUUCAGCAGCAGAUGUCGUCUCAGCACUACACACAGUAAAGCUCGCUUCAUCGUAGUUUUCACCAUGAGCCUUACCCAGAAUUUUGAUAUUUCUUCGAGGGGACCUGUUUGCACUAUUUGAAAUCAUCUUGAAUUGCUUGGCAAGGAACAUGGUAGGCUUGGAAUCCUUUCUUGAAGCUUCAAGCUUGACACUCGACCUGACUGUGCUACUAGAACUGGCAACAGGAUCUUCUUCUUCUACUGAACCAAUGGCAUAGAUAUUCAAUCCUGAUAGAUCAUGAGGUGCCGAUGCAUGUGCUUCGGGUUGUGAGUCACUUGAGGAUGGUGACGACACAGGAACAGACUGCGACCCUCUACCGUUCAUGUCUGCUAACCCAGCGCGUCGAAGCAUUCGCUGAAGAUUCCGCGAUCGUGAGUACGCUUCUCGAAUGGACUGAGACCUUGAAAGCGUAGCGGGAAGCUGUUGCAGCAUUGCAUCAUAACCCAGAUGCUUGGAUUUCAGUCUCCAACACCUGGUCUCGCCGUCUUUUGAUUCCAAGGCUCGAUACCUGGCUUGGAUAGCAUGUUGACACAAAGGCCAUCCCCUGUCGCCAUCGUCCAUUGUUUGGUCGCUCACUCUUCUUGAGCCUGUGCAGCAGGUUGAAUGCAGCUUUCUACAAUGUACAACUAUCGAUAGCUAGUAGCACCACCCAUCUCACUUUGUUACAUGUCAUGUCAUAGCCUCGCUUCACAUAAGCCCCCAAAGCAGUGCUUAAAAGGCAUUCCGGUGCUGAUUUGCAGGGCCUUGGGUACAUUGUAGCGCAACCGCAAGUGAAGACGGCUUCUACAAACCAUCUAAUUAAGGACAAAACCUGCAAUCAAGGAGGGAUGGCAUCUGUCACUCUAGGAGAAAGGGAAAAAUUUCCUGGCCGUGACCUUGCCGGAGUUGAACUAUACGUUCUUCAACGUGAUCAUCUACAAAGCAAACAAAAGACACUGACAAUCAGUGCGGAAACUCAAUCACAAACAAGAUGCGACUGGAAGUGCUGGAAUUAGCAUAAUCACGUUAGCGACGAAGCACAAAGUGCGCUUCUCCUGCUAUCGUCAAUCGAAACGAUUCCACAACAAUAGCACGCUAUUCUGUAGCAGAUAAAUUUAACAGGAGCAGAUUAAGCUCAAAACCUCGACCAGGGUCAUAGACAUUGACGAUACUAAUUCCUAAAAACGCAAAUAGAGACAAACAGGGGACGCUUAGGCAAUAAUCAUCAUCAUAUCUAAGAGGAAAGCGUUUCCCUGUGUGUAGAGAGUCUUACCUUAGAUUGCUACAAUACACAAGCCGCGGUCCUACAAAGAUCCAACACAAGCCUGGAGUAGCACCACGGGUUCCAUACCACGGACCUAUUUUCUCACAAGGCAUGUUCCAGCCUGAACCCACUAAACCUGUAGAUCAAGAAGCAGCAUUUAGGAGUUAGAGGCACGGGACGGAACAACAAGAGCAGGCUCCGGAUUGCAAUGGAGGAAGGGCGGCAUUCCGACGAUCCCAGCGCAGGAGGAUCGAAAGGAGAGACGAGCAGAGAAAGGGCCAGCGCGACGCAAUCUUGCACUGGGCUGGAGCGCAGACAGCGUGAGAGGAGCGUAGCCCAGCGAGCUGCACCCAUCCAGGAAGAAGGAAGCGCAAGCAAAGCCUCCUGCGCGCGAGGCCGCUUCCCGGAGAGAACGCGAGAAGGGCGCAUGGUUCGAAAUCCACGUUUAGCACCCUGCGUCAGUGAUCUCACGUUUGAGUGCGGAAUUGUUCAUUGCCCUACAUCUGAUUCCGCUCCCUGCACAACAUCUUCCCCCGCGAUGCUCGCACUCCAUAUAUAGCCAAAUCCCCCGGUUCCAUGGCCUCUAAACCCCCAUAAUUCUAGCACACCCUCGCGAUUGCCGAAACCUAUCGUUUCCAGGUUCUGAUGCUCUCUCGCGAGGCGCUUGGCAAUGGCGUUGCGUCGCGAUCUGGCUAGCUAGCUUGUCAACGGCCAUGCAUUUCGCGACCUCGAAGCGCAUCCCAUGUCGAUCAGGCUUACCCCCCCCCCCCCCCCCCGCUCUCCCCUCACACCCGAUCCAUGAUCCAUCUUCACUAGAUCGGAUUUCAACGCAGCGUCAACUUCGUGGAUCCUCGAACACGCCCAAAUCUUCUUCAGAUUCGUUCUGUCGUCGACACUGGCAUUGGUUGCGCGCUGCGACGCGCUUCGAGAUUCGGCGUCUGGCGCGGCCAUCGCAAGCGGAACUAGAAAAAGGAAAACGCAAAAAGAUACGCUCAAACUUUUACUUUAAUUGGUUGGUGUCGAAUGGGUGCCGAAUGGUGAGAAAGGCUGGAUUUGUUUCAUGAAAAUUAGAUAAAACCCUAAAAGAACUAUUUUAUUGAGAAUAACUUGGUUUUUGUACUGGUUCGACCUAAUGCGAUAUGUGCAUUCAGUUUGUUUUAAAAUCGGACGAAUCUCACAAUGGUUUUUUGUAAGGGUUAUAGUACAUAAUAAUUUAAAUAAGUAUGGCACAUAAUAUAAAUAUUUUUUAAAGAAUUGAUAUUAAAAUUAUGUGUGUGUGUAUGCAUAUAUAUAUAUAUAUAUAUAUAUAAUUAUGUGCUUUUAAAAUAUAUUAAACCCUCAUAUUGUUGCAUACAAGUCUUACAUUCAAAAAUCAAAUACUUUAAAUCUUUAAAUUUGUUAUUAAUUUUAAUUACAACAUUAUAUACUAUACUGUGAAUUUAUUAUUCACUAUAUACAUACGUAUCCCUUUUUCAUAACUACUCAAAUUUAGGGAUAUUUUAUUAGACAUGGAUGUUUCAUAACAUGUUAAAUAGAUCCAUAGUUUGAUGAAUUUAAUUUUUAUAUAAGGUUUGAUUGAAAUUUUAGAAGUUGGUCUAAUAAAGAAAAAUUUUCAUUUUCGGAAUAAUUAUUUGAUGAAUCAUAAUGAUAAUAAUUUUAAAUAAUAAAUAAUAAAUAAUUUAAAUUCUAAGGACGGAAACAUUUAAAAUCAUUUCAAAUUUUUCAGAAACAAUUUAAAAGCGUCGCUAAACUACAUGACUAGAUUUUAUACUAUAAUAAAAUAAUAAAAUAAAACAUAUGUAUAUAUAUAUAUAUAUAUAUAUAUAUAUAUAUUCUAAGGAGAGUAAUUAAUCACCAGAGAUUUUAUUCCAAAUUUAUUUGUUGACGGAACACUUUUAUGGAGAUACAUCCUUUGGUUUGAAAUGAUUUAGUUCAACCAAGAGCUCAUGGACUCAUGCACAUUAAAGACCAGUCUAGUUCCUUGACCUCAAACAUGAACCCAUACUGCUCUCGUUGAAAUUUUGUUUUGUUUUUUGUAGAGAAGGUAAUCGCGUCUACCAGUAUACCUGUUUCUCUUAGUUUGGAAAAUACGUUCACAUUGAAGCAGUUGAGUGGGUCAUGACAGCCAAAAUGCUGCAAAAAGGGCCAUGGGCAGGGAGUGCAAAUCUUGACACAGCCCUAGGCGCAUAUUUAGUUGUCUGUGUUGCGAGUGUACCUCUUAUACGAUAGUGGGGGACUUGGUGGUCGGGGUUUCAGAGGAGAUCUGGGGGUGUAGGGAACAGAGCUCCCCAAUGGUCUGUUCGAAUUCACCGACGGUGUUCUUUGGGGAUUUGGUAUGUUGGACCAUUUCCCCUUGUUGCGAGGCUUCAUUGCUCGGACAUGAAGCUCCCCGUCUGGAAACACGGCCACCUGCUUACAGAGUGCAUUCAAGCUGAUAAGUUCCUUGGAACCUUUGAUACCCAAUACACGGAAUUGACAAUAUUCUUAGGUUGGAGAAGAUCAGAUCCUCCUACCUGAUCCAUAGCCAUCUUAUUAACUUCGUAGAUGACCUCGGGAGUGGCUGAGACUCCUCUUGUCAUCAUCUGCAUGUUGAGAAGCAUGUCAUGACGAAGGAAAUUCGACUUGCAAAUUCAUUUCGGAUUUUCUUUAAAGAUGCCCAAAAGUCACUUACAUCAUGUCUCAUGACUCGCAUCAAGGUGUUGAAGCUGGAAGCUCCUUUAACCAGAAGUUUGUUGCGCUGUAAUUUGUUCUGUGUAUUAAUGAGCAAUAGAUUUAGAUGUAUUUAUUUCCAUUAAAAUGCGUAUAAGGUAGUUUCGUAGAAAUACCAUUUUAGCAAAACUUCGGUUGUUACCCUGUAGAGAAUUUCGAUACCGAGCAAUCGAACAUUUAUACAUUACCCAACUCUGCAAUGCAUACUUAAAACAUGUACCCCAAAACCCGUUGUAGUGCCAAGGAGACGCGAAAAACUUUAAACCAAUCAACACUGAUAUACUAAUUACCCUCAAAAACCGUCAACUCCGAAAGAGUGACAACUUCUGAAUUGUGGCAUGUUACAGAAAUGUUCACCUCUGACGUUAGCUGAUCCUUCAGAUUCUUGAUCUCCCGUUCCUGUUCUCCUUGUUGGUCGAGCGCCAGUUGAUGUUGCCGUUGCAGCUUUCCAAUGAGCUUUGUCAAAGCGACACGUUCCGCGGAAAGAACUUGCUGUGCUGCAUUCAAGUCAGAUACACGAUCCUUCUUCCAUUCACCUGUAUCGAUGAUUGUUGACAGCCUUUCGUUAUCUGAACGCAGUUUCUCGUUCUCUCUUUCAGCUGCACUGGCGAAUCUUUGCACGUAUUGCAUCUUCUUUUGUGCUCCCAUCUGGUGCCCUCUUGUGUCAGUAACUGGAUCAAGAGCAAAAAAGCACUCCCAAAUUUCAGACUAUAACAUGACUUUCUCAAUGUUCCUUUUCGAAGUGCAGUUCGCAAACUGUUGUGCUACAUCCAAAUAGUGCCGUUUAGGUUGCUGACAUAUUUGAGUUUCUCAUGAACAGUUCUCUACCAAAGGCAGUGAAACAGUGAGAGUUUAAAAUUAGACCUGCAUGAAAGCAAUCCAGCUCUGAAAGCACCGGUUUAGAAGUUUUCUGUUUGAUUUGCGCAACUGGCGCGCUAUGACUCCACGAACGCAUUUACGUGCCUUCACAACGUCCAAGUAUGCCAUGAAACAUCGUCGCACCAUUUUACGAUUUAACUUCUUCCUGAAGGCCUGGUCCCGCUUCCUCAGGUAUUCAUUGUACUUAACCCUAAUCCUCCACUGGUGAAACAUAGUGCGCAAAAUACGGUUAUCUUCAAAUGGGCGGAGUAAGUAAAAGUUUUUCUCUAAUGAUUUCCACCAGUAAUCAAAACACCUCCUGAGCGUAAAAAUUCGUUGCUUAGCCCUGGAUUUAUGCACCAAAAGGAUAUUUGUUAUUCCAAUAGAUUGUAUCAUAGGAGUCAAACUCAACGUAACCUCCAUGUAUCGCUUCACUAGGUUUCACUAUGUGAAGAAGCUUAUAAUUUCAAGUCGAAUUGAAAUGGAGCAAUUCCAUUCAAACGUGUUAAGAAAUUCUGCGCAUGAAUUCUUCGAGGGACGUGGGUAUACAAGCUCUGGAUACAAACACACUUUGAAAAGACUUACUUGAUGAAUAUUCGAUCGUGCACUCUUUUCCGAGUAGCUUCCCUAAGUGCAGCAAACGCACGAAAAGCACUUUUCUUAAGGAGGAAAAUCAGAGUCUGCCUUAAGAACUUUCGUGAUUGUAAUCUUGCUUCCACUCCCUCCUGGAUUCCCGUUCUUUCGUCAACUUCUUCGUAGGUAGUUUGGCAAUUAACAAGUUACUCUCGAGGAGCAAUAAGUAAGCUUGAAGAAAGCAGGCACAUAAGUACCACCAUACUUUCAUCUCGAAUUCAUCUUUAAACUUGGAAAAAUCAGGAUUGCAGAGAAAUUAGAAGAACUUGAAACGAGUGGAAACCAUCACGGUUCGAAAGAAUACCUGGAGGAAGCGGAAGUAACGACACAAAUUGGAUCGUCUCAUCAUAGAGAAGGCCCGCUUUGCCUUGUCUUCUUUUGACUGUUUGUCUAAACUCUUCCGCAGCCGCUUUUCUUUCCUGUAUGCAGAUUCCUUAACUGUCAGGCAAUUCUUAUUGUCGUGGUGGUCAGUCUGUACUGUGGCGGCUCACAUGCUAAUGCACGUGGGGUCUUAAACAAAAUAUCUUCAACCUUACAUAUUCUUGUGGAGAGCUCCAAACCAUUAUUGAAACAACACCAAAAUCAGCAGACAGGGAAAAGUGGACGUACUUGUAUUCUUCAUCCUUGCGAUGUAUCUCCGCGAUCAGAACUCUCCACGCUUUCCUACAACCAGUGUGUCAUCAGGGAAAAAGGAUAGAAAAACCAUUUGACAAAAUGCCUGUUUACCAUGAUAGUUAGCAAUGUUAACUUCACUGUUCAAGAAAGCUCACCAAGUUAGACAUAGUUUUCGACGCUGAAGAAGCUUGUGGGCAGAUGAUUCGAAACGUCUCAUUUUUUUGCCUACUUUCGCACAUGAACCCCAACAUUUGAACGCACGUGACGAAACCCUUCUUAUGGACCACAAGAACGCCUUCUUUAACCGCCGUUUCUUUUGCUUGUAAUAUUCGGUUUCCAAGCUCCAAGCCAUAAACGCAACUCGCAAAAUUCUCUCGUUGGCUUUUCUCACCUACAAAGCACAAAUAAGUACACCAAGACAUUGCAAAGUUUACUGAUCACUUCUUCUCUUGUCGGUUUGAAUUUUAGAAUCCAAUCCCAUUGCAGCAUCAUGAAUGGAUCACCUGAAGGGUGAGCAGGGAUCGGUUUCUUUCAAUCGCGGACUUAACGCGCUCAGCAUUAGCAGCAAGUUCGUCGAGUUGCUCAUAUGCCAGCCGCAUCGGCAUCUCGUUCUCCUGAACCGCCCUGUGAAGUGCCUGCCUCAAUCCAGAAUAAAUAGUGAUUGAACUGCGUUCACCUCAGCAUGCAUACGGUAAAAAUUGCGAAAUAAUACAGAAUGCUGUUAGUACUCAUUCAUAGCUUUCACUCUGCAGCCUACAAACUAACAGCCAGGCCAUAAAUCAUGCAAUACAGAUGAUUCGAUGAUUCAUUGAAUCAACCUUAAUGCCACGAUGGUGUUCACCAGAUUUUGGGGAAGUAAGCUUGGCAUGGGCAGUGCUGCCACUGCUGGAGCUUGCCUCUACCUCCUUCAACCUACGCAACAGCUCUUUCAUCUCCGGACUAUCUGAGUCUAGAUUAUCUUGGCCCUUCGACGCCCGCCUUGAACUCCAUUUUCUCCGAGGCGGCCGUCCGUCCACAGUUUCGAAAUCUCGAGCUUUCAGGACUGACCCUGAGUUACUAAUUUUUCGCCUACCGCUACCUGCUUCUUCCGCUGCAUUGCUGCCUAUUUUCGAUGUCGCUCGUCGACCUUGGACCGACGACCUAAACUUAGUACCUCCUGAUUCCUCUGGUGCAAGCUCCGAACUAGAAUCCUCAAAUCCUAUGUCUGUUCCACUUGAUGGCCGUCUGCCAUUUGGGAAGUUUGGAGGCGGUAGUGACUCUUGUGGUGGAUCCAAACCACUCUCUCCAGGAUCGAUUUCCUCCUCACUUGCCAUGUUCGAGGUCUUCAAUGUCUAAAUUCCAUCAGCACCAAAUUUUCACACUGCUACCCUUGCGCCUACCCCUUUGAUAGCAUACAUAUCCUUUGCACACUGACGCACAUUGUUAAUUGAGCCAUAUUCCAUCGCUACAACUGGUUAUUCCCACGAUCCAUACAAUUCACCCAGGUUCCUAUGCAUCUUUUCGUCAUGUAGACACCGAUGUGGCUUUAUUGCGCAUGUCAUCUACAAAUUCAGCGCGUUCUUAACCACGUGAGCUAUCAAAUAGUCAUCCUCUCCGAUACCGUAAUGCAGACUUGUGUCUGAUUGAUCGAAUCACUCACGACAACAUCUAAAAACUCGAAACUACAGCCAGGAUGAGCACCUAACCGCAAAAUCCGAUUGUCAACUACCGAGCAACAGCAACCACGCCUUUCCCUCUGUCUCUUUUCUUUCUCUUCCCCACUCCAACCGCCAUCUGCAUUCCAACACAUGCGCAAAAUCACCCUCAGCAUUUCCGCUGGCAACAAGUGUACUCACAACUUCAAAUUAACAACUAUAACAACUUCAAAUUACCAACUCUAAAUGUCAAAAGAAUACAAAUUAAACAAAAUUGUCAAAGAACUUCACCUCACUCCACCUCCGUCUCCUCCAAGCCCUUAUGCGAGAUGAAUCGAUCAACGUUUACGAACAGCUGCACACUCCAAGCCAGAAGCAGCGAUAUACACGACCUUAAAUCAAACAUCAAGACAUUGAAUAUUCAGAUUGCAUGAGCCUUGCAGCAAGCCACGUAAACCAAAAUGAGCGAUCUGAAAGUGAAUUUUUAAGAGAAAAAUAUGUGAACAUGCAGAAUAGAGGAGCGAGCAUACCUCCCCUCUACAAAUUAAAACCAGAGACUCGCUCUAAUUCUGACGCACGUUCAAAUUUAAUAUUAAAUGAGAAGAAUGUUUCAAAAUGUGAGUAGUGAAGUAGGUUUGCGAAGCAGACGAGAGAGGUUUGGCUCCAUGGUCGUUUAUUAUUCGUUGCCCUUCAUGUGACGCCGGCGGGUUUCGCCGGCCUCCACGGUACGAGACCGGGAGACCGGGAGACGGAGACGGAGACGCAAUAGAUGAACGAACUAUGCCGAUCAUCGUUGUGGACGUCGAUGAAUGAUGUGGUUUCAUGCUCUUCGUUGGGUAGAUGAUGUUUAUGGAUAAAAUAGGUAAACGUUGUUGAAUUGGGUAUUUUUAGGAUUUAACAAUUUGAAUAAGAUUGCAAAGCAGUGAACGUAUGUUUCAAUAUUAGACAAGAAGGAUAUUGCAUUGUGUAUAUGUAUGUGUGCCUCUCUUUCUAUAUAUAUAUAUAUAUAUAUAUAUAAUAAAAUAUUUUUUGUUAUCAAAAUAUUACAUAUUAUUUUAAAAUUUGAUAACUAAAUAAAAAAAAUUAAUGUAUAUAUAUAUAUAUAUAUAUAAAUGAAGAUAUAAAAAAAUUAUUUUUUAUGAUCUUAUUUUUGGAUUUUAAAAUAAAGAUAAAAAUUGAUUUAAAUAUAAUAUUUUAAAAUACAAUUAGAUAGAUAGAUAGAUAAGUAUUUCAGAUUUUUAUUUGAAAUUUGUAUGAUGAUUGUAAGUGAUUAUUAAAUAUAUAUAUAUAUAUAUAUAUAUAUAUAUAAUUUUUUAUUCAAAUAUUAAAAAAUAAAAGAAAUAUUACUUAAAAAAAUAUAUAUAUGUCUUGUAUUUAAAUGAUUAUAAGUAUAACACUAAUUGAAAUUCAAUUUAAUUCAUUUUAAAGUGCUUUAAUAAAGUAUUAGUAUUUAGAAUAUUAUUCUUAUACUCAUGAUUCUUAUCUUAUUGAAAGAAACUCUAUAAAUGAUAAAAACUUAAUUAAGAAUAUAUUUUAUGUUUUGUUUUGAGUGAUAUACUUUGAAGCCUUAAAAAUAAAUAUAAGUCACAUUAUUAUAUAUAUAUACAUUUAUAAGUUAGUAAUUUAAUGGAUUUUAUUACUUACAUGAUGUAAAUCAAUUCAUCUAUGUGAGCAUGUUUAGAUAUAUCUAUAAAAAUAUAAAUGUAAUGAAUAUAAUUAUUUAUUUUAGAAGAAUGAUAAAACAAUCCAAUUUUUUAGUAAAACCAUCCACCCAUCAAUACAAUUUUGCACAUGGAUAGUACAAAUAUUUUUUAUUAUUAAGAUAAUAAAUCUAUAUUUAGAUAAAUAGAAUCAUUAUUCUAUAUAUAAUUUUCAACGAUUCUUAAUAAUUCUCAAAAACUAGUAAUAAUGUCUUUCUAUUGGUCUUCUUCUACUUAUCUUGUAAGUAUGUGUGUAUUCAAUUUACUUCUUCAUAUAAUUCUAAUAUAUAUUCUUUUUCAGAUUAUAUCUAGUGGAUAAAGGAAAAAAAUUGAAUAUUCUAUAAUUUUAUUUCAUUUUGCAAUGCAAAGUGAGAGAUAUAUGCGUGCACCACCAAAAGAAUAUUUUAAGAAUAUAGAAGAAAUAAAAUGUAGUAUUAAUGCAUUUAUGUAUAAUGAAGGCUAUAUCAUAUGCAAAUGGUGCUUUGAUAAAGAUUACUUUGAUUACAAGUGUGAUAGAGGAGAGAUUUAUUAUGAUUGCAAUUGAUAUACUCACAAUCAAAAUAAUAUAAGUCAUUUGACAGGAUGUCCAUUUGUAUUGCAUGUUGGUUGUUUGCAUAAUAAUAUUCAAUGGCAUUUGAUUGUUUGAAAUGCUCUUUAUAACCAUAAAAAUACUUCUUUUCUUUUACGCCAUUCAUUUGCUCAUUGUUUGCAACCAAUCAAAAAAAAACUAACUUCAUGAUAACUAUGAUACUAAUAGUAAAGUCAUUAUUCAAACUAUUUAUAAUGAGUUAUAGAAAUUACAUUGUAUGGUACUUGCUAGUCAAUCAUCUAUUAUAUGUCUUAUGGAAACUUUACAAGGAGCUAAUUAUUAUUUUAUUUAUUAUUUUAAUGAAGAAGAUAAAAUUACUUGUUUAUUUUUUGCACAUUCUAAUUGUAUUUAAUUUACAAAAAAAUACCAUUUUUCCAUUGUCAUAGAUUAGACAUACAAAAUGAAUAGAUUUAGAAUGCUAAUAUUACAUGUUGUAGGGAUGAUAAGUUUUAAUGCAUUAUUUACCAUUGGUGUUAUUUUUUUUCUAAGAAAAAAUGGAAUCUUUUUUUAUUAAGAAUUAAUCUAAUUUUAAUCAUAUAACUAUUGAGUACUUAAAGAACACUAAGAUACCAUAUAAGAAAAAAAUUGUUAAAGCUUGGAUAAAUAAUUUAUUUCAUUUUAGAAAUACAACUAUAUGACAAAUAGAAGUUUAACAUUGAGUGUUAAAAUCCUACUUAAAAGUCUCCACCAAAGAUCUUAUAGAAGUUUAAAUUUUUCUCUCUUAUUUUUUUGAGACUACAAGAAAAGAAUUGAAGGCUUAAGAAAGUUUAGAACAAAUCCAUAUUACUCAUCAACAUAAUAUUGGUUUUUUCACCAAUUUUGUAAAAUAUAUAUCUUUACAUGGCUUUAAUCUUUUUCUUAAUUAAUAUAAAUAAGCAAGAGUAAAAAUUGAUAAUUUUUUUCCUAUACAAGAAAAAUGACAAAUACAUUAGCUCUAUUAUAUAAGCAUCACAUAUGAAUUUUAUUGAAAAAAAAGAUUUUUUAUUAAUUAGUGAUUUUUAACAUUAAUAAUACUUAGUAAAUACUUUUGAUUAGUUUAUUUCUAUACUACCUACAAUUCUAUUCUCUUUUGAAAGUUUACAUCUACUUUAUACCAAUUUUAGUCAAAAUUUUGAUAUUUUAUUUAUUCACCAAUAAGGAAAUCAACAUAAAAGAUUAGUUGAGCUUUCAAUAAUAACUAUGCAAUUAAAAAAUCCAUGAGUGAAUUGUCCAAAAGAAAGACAACAAGGAACAAGAAAUAGAACUAGAAGUGACAUGUAUACAGAAAUAUCAAUACAAAAAUUUGUAUCAUAAUUUGAAACUAUAGAAGUAAAGACAAAGAGGUGCUUUUGUAGCAACUUCAAAUUAAUGGGAUAUAAUAUCUAUAUAUAUCUUAUAAGGAAAACUUAUUUUUUUUACAAUUUUUUAUUAUUAUCAUAGAUAUAUGUAUUUAUUCUAAUAAUUACUUAUAUGAUUAGGUAGAAAUAAAUAAAUAUAAAGUAAUUUCAUAAUAUCUUUUAAAGAAGCUUUCUAAAAGCUUUAUAGAUGCAAUUUUGACUUUACACAACUUUGUAGUUGAUUGGUAGGUUAGAAACUUGGUCAACAAGUUAAUCAUGUAUCACAUGUGUUGAUAACAUGUGGAACAAACUAACUAUAUGACACACAUAUAAAAAACUUCCCUUAGAAGUUAAAACAUGUAUUUAGCAAAGUCAAUAACUAUUGGAGAUCCUAUAGAAUAUUGCCACAUAGCUUUUAAUUAGAUAGUAUAUAUAGAGGCAAGAAUGAAGCCUUUUCACUCUUAUCAAUGUUUUUCUAUUAUUUAUCCUUGUUUCAAGACUUUCUAGUUUUUUUCUUUAAUAAUAGCCAUUCUAAUUUAAUAUAUUACCAUCUUUAAGUAAAGUCUACAUAAAGAUAGUAGAAUGUAUUGAGGUUUUCUUUCUUUAAAAUUCAUAUUCUUGACAAUUUGACAAGAGUACUAACUCAUUGUUCUUGUCUUAUUAUAUAAAAGAUGGAUUAUUCUACUUUUAUUGUUUUAUUUUGAAGGUUGUAGACUAUCCACCUUAAAAAAAAUAGUUUAAUUUUUUUAUAAUAAAUUAUCUUUAAAGAGAAGAGAUCAUCCAUCUUUUUUAAAAAUUUUAUUUGAUAUUAGAGGUUGGAAAUUACUCCCUUCUAAUUUUAUUUAUAGAUUUACUAAGUUGUUUAAAAUAAGAAAAAAUCAUAAAUGCUACACUUGACAAAAGUGACAAUAGAUUUACAACUAUUGUAGAUCUUCAUGAGCUUGUCAGUACUCUUAGAAUAGAAAUUUCAUGUAUUACUAAUACCAAUAACAAAAGCACUAUUCCUACAUAUAUGAAAGAAGUCUAGAAUCUAUGCUAAGAAAUUAUGUAAUUAAAGGAAGCAAGUAGAUCACCCUUAUAACUAAUUUUAAUAAGUCUUUCUUCUACAAGCAUGAGAGAGGUAAGAAUUAAUAUGCUUGAGAAGUUUAAUGGAACAAGAUUAAAAUUUUAAGGAUUUUUAUAACAAAUUAAAUUUUAUUUAAGGUUGUAUCAUUUCUAACAACUCGAUUGAUUUAUUCAAGUUGGAUUUAUAGGUGCAUUUUUAUAGAAAAGUACUCUCUUUUAAUUUGUAUCUUUGAUAGAAAAAAAUUUAUAACUAUUCUAUGAUUUGAAUUCAUUCUUGGAAGUAUUUACGACUAUAUUUGAAAAAAAUGAUUAAAAAAGGAUAAUAGAUAUCAAAUUUAUAUCUCUAUAAUAAGGAUCAUGUUCAACAACCACAAAUGUUGUUAAAUUCUAAAAUCUUACUUCUAAUGUGGAUUAGAAUGGCAGAGACCUUUUUAAUCAAUUUUGAUAUUGAUUGAAAGAUAAUGUCAAAGAUUUAUUAUUGAUAAUACUAAAAGCAGAUUUAUUGGAGUAAUUUAUUACUUAAGCCAUUGUAUGCAACAAUUGACUCAUUGAAAGAUACCAAGAACAAUGAUUUGGCUAAAGAAGUACAAAUCGAAUCAUAGAAACAUCUAAAAAGUUUUCAAAAUCUUACUUAACUAGGACAAAGCUUAUGCAAAUUAACAUAGGAUGUUUUAAAUUUCUUACUGAAUAAGAAUAGAUUUAUCAUUGUGAAGAAGAUAUGUACUUAUUUUUUAGAGAACCAAAACACAUUACUCAACAUUAUUCAAAGAAGCAACACAAUUGCAAAAUGAGGAGUAUAGUUGACAAAGAAGGACAAAGUAUUGAAAAAUAAGUUUUUCCAAUUAUAAUAAGAACUGUGCAGUUGAAAUCUUGUAUUAUACCUAUUAAAGGUUAUAUUCUCUCCUUAGAUCUCUCACUUUGUUUCACAAUAGAAUUUUGUUUAAGACCAAAAAAUCACAAAGUCUUAGCCUUGUUAGAUUCAAGAACCUCAACCUAUUUUAUAGACAAAGGCAUUGCCAAAAAAUAAGAUAUAUAUUUAAUUAAGAAAAUCAAAUUUUUACAUAUAAAAAUAAUAGAUAGUUAUUUGUAGUCUUUAAGAGAUGUUAUAUAUGAAAUUAUUCCUUUAAAAAUAAUAAUUAGUAGUCAUAAUAAUUUAAUAAUAUUUAAUAUGAUUAGAUCUCUUUCUAAUUCAAUUAUUUUAGGAUUAUUAUGGCUAAAAAAAUAUAACUCUCUAAAAGAUUGAAUUUCUUGUAACCUUAUUUUUUUCUAAAAUUUAGCCUAAGAUUUUUCUAGGGAAAUAAAAAUCCAUAAGAUUGAUAUAUCUAAACCUUUAUUUGUAGGUGGAAGAACUUUUAUGCAACUUAAAUGGUCAACUUUUGCUAUAUACACCACACUUAUUGUUAAUUGAGAAAAGAUUUUAAGUGGCAUUUCAAGCCAAUAUUAAGAUUAUUGAGAC